AGGACUUUUGUUUGUCACAACAAUAUCCGCAAUAUUCUGAUGAAUAAUAUCCAAGCUUCGUGAAAAUAUUUUCCGAAGCUGCACUUCCGAAGAUCAAUAGUGUAUUUUCUUGCAACUUAGCAUGAUUUUCCCCUUUUUCAAAACAUUCUUCUGAAGAUCGAUAUUGUGGCCCCCUCUUGUGCCAUAUGCAGCAUGAUGUAUGAUGCUUAUGCUAUGCGAAAUGAUGCGAUGAUGUUAUGUUAUGCAAAAUGAUGUUUACUCCAAAGGUACAGGCACAUCUUGCGAUAAAUCACAUAAUCUUUUUAAAUCAGUAUUGACUUUUUGCUAUAAGCCUCCCUUAGGAGCUUCUUCGCCUUUUACUUCAGCGGAAUCAGCGUUUAUUUUUCGCUGUAAGCCUCCCUUAGGAGCUUCUUCGCCUUUUACUUUCAGCGGUAUUCGCGUUGACUUUUCGCGCUUCGCCUUUUACUUAGGCGGUAUCAGCGUUGACUUUUCGCUGUAUGCUCUACAUUCCCUUUGGAACGACUUUGGAGCAGAAAACUUACACUGCGCUCCCUUUGGAACGGCUUUUUGUGACUUCGGCAAACUUACUCUGCGUUCCUUAGAACGACUUUUUGUUGCUUCGAAGAAUUUUUUUUUGAUAAUUCGAAGGUCCUCUUUGUUAUCGCAAAUCUUUGAGCUUCAACAACUUAAGCCUGUGAAGAAAAUAUAUUUUCCUUGUGGCAAACAACGAAACUAUUUACAUGAAAUCUAAACAAUGUCCUUUAUUACACAGAAAAUAAAACUAAAAAAAGACUGCUAUUAAGGUAGGAUAUUUGUCAAUAGAUGUGCUUUGACUCUGGCACAGUGCUGUUGACUGUGCGAGCUUCGGACUGUUCUCUGAAGUCCCUUUGGUGUGGAGCAUACUGGCUCCCUUCUGGCUGCUGGCCUUGUUGCAGCGGUGGUGGAGGCGGAGGCUGUUGCCAGGAAGCUUGAGGCUGACUCGCCGAAGCAACAGAAACUACAGGGUGGUUGCCUACAUAUUCUGGGAUGUAAGGCGAAUGAUACGAAGCAGUGUGCAUGACCUGCUUCGGCUGAGCCUGUUGUGCUACAGCUUCGGCUAUUUCUUUUUGCUUCUGGAUGGUAACAUGGCACAUCCUGGUGGUAUGGCCUUUGUUCUCACCACAGAACAAGCAAAAAAUUCUUCUUGAUUGAUCGCCAAAUCUUCCGCCGAAGCCCCUGGCACCUCUGCCUCUCGGAGCUGGUGGUCGGAAGGAGCCUUGCUGUUGCCCCGAAGCCUGUGAGGAGCACUGUGGCCUUUGCUGCUGGCUCCCCCUAUCAUCAUUUUGAGUAGAGUUGUGAAUUGAUCUAACGUGCCUCGGAUAAAACCUCCCUCCGAAGCCCCUAGUCAUUUCAGAAAACCUGAAAGCAUCCUCCCUUCUUUGGCGAAAAUCAUUAUCGGCCCGAAUGUACUCGUCCAUCUUCUGGAGCAGCUUCUCCAAAGUUUGAGGAGGCUUCCUAGCGAAGUACUGAGCUGAAGGUCCUGGACGAAGCCCCUUGAUCAUGGCCUCAAUGACAAUUUCGUUGGGCACUGUUGGUGCCUGUGCCCUCAAACGCAAGAAUCUCCGGACGUACGCCUGAAGGUACUCUUCGUGAUCCUGGGUGCACUGGAAUAGAGCUUGAGCAGUGACCGGCUUCGUCUAAAACCCUUGGAAGCUGGUUAACAACAAGUCCUUCAGCUUUUGCCAUGAAGUGAUCGUUCCUGGUCGAAGGGAGGAGUACCAGGUUUGAGCAACACUCCUGACAGCCAUAACAAAAGAUUUGGCCAUGACUGCAGCAUUGCCACCAUACGAAGAUACUGUUGCUUCGUAGCUCAUCAAAAACUGCUUUGGGUCUGAGUGGCCAUCGAAUAUGGGAAGCUGAGGCGGCUUGUAGGACGGAGGCCAAGGUGUAGCCUGCAGCUCAGCGGACAGAGGAGAAGCAUCAUCAAAAACAAAAUUCCCAUGAUGGAAAUUGUCAUACCAGUCAUCUUCGUUGAGGAAACCCUCCUGACGAAGGUCUUGGUGCUGAGGCCUUCAGUGUUGCUCAUCCUGAGUAAGAUGACGAACUUCUUCAGAGGCUUCGUCUAUCUGCCUUUGCAAUUUAGCUAGCCUGGCCAUCUUUUCCUUCUUCCUCUGCACCUGUUGAUGAAGCAUCUCCAUGUCUCUGAUUUCUUGAUCUAUCACAUCCUCUGGCGGUGUCGGGCUAACAGCCUUCCUUUUCUGGCUUCGGGCCUCUCGAAGGGAGACUGUCUCCUGAUUGUGGUCCAGCGGUUGCAGAGCUACAACCCCAGUUGCUGAAGCUUUCUUCGGCGCCAUAGCGAAGGUUUAUGAUCGCCGAAGGUGUUCAAAAACUCAAAGAGUGGAUGUGAGUUCACCGGAGGUGGGCGCCAAUGUUGGGGACUUGUUCUCAAAUGCUAUGAGUUAAGAACAAGGCAACACAGAAAAUGUUAGUCGGUAAAGUCCUUCGUCCUUCGGAGCAUUAUUUCCCUUAGGAUAUAAUGAUUUUUGGACGAAGGUUAUGAAGGGCGUACCUUCAUAAACAUAGCAUACAAUGACGAAGAAUGAAUCAUAAGGAAUAUGAAGGACAACAUAAACAAUUAUAUAUUAUUAUCAACUUUAUCUUUGCAUUAUUAUUAUGAAGAAACAGAAAUAACAUUGAAUUACAAAUGUACCUUCAACUUGGAAAGAGAUGAAAGUACAGGUGUGACGCAAAAGCAGAUGCCAAAUCAGCGUGAACAGUACGGGGGUACUGUUCACCUAUUUAUAGGCACGGGACACAGCCCAUAUAAAAUUACAUCCAUGCCCUUUACAUUUGGUAAUGAUUCUAUAGUAAUCCACCAAGGUCUGAAUAUCCUUUUCAUCUUUAAGUCGGUUUCAUUUUCUGCUAUCACGCCGAAGCUUUCCCGCUCACAUCUUCGGCGCUGCAUCAACCUUCGUAUUAUCUUGGGCUUCUCCUACUGUGAUAUCGACUCGAGUCCGAAGAUACCUGUUCACAUAUUAUGCUCCAGAAAUAAUGUUAAAUCCUGUUUUUGAGGACCUUCGUAAGCCGAAGGCCCCCAACAAACGUGUUCGACGCGUUCUGGCGCGCCAGAGCACGCCCUGGCGCUCGACCCCGCGCGCACCGCGCCGCGCCAAGCCAAACCCGUGCCCACGCCCACGCCCACGCCCGCGCCUAUAAAGAUGAUCGAGGCCUCGACCGUACGCCGCCGCUCGCUCUCAACCACGCUGGAGCGUGAGUUCACCGACGAUUACUCUGCGCACGGCGUGCCAGCGGCCGCCCGAGACCCAACCACCGUAGACUGGCCAUCCUAGCCAUUCCCUACCCCGUCCAACCCUCGAGCUAGCCUCUACGUGUCUCGGUGAAGCUUCCAGAGCCAGGAAUCGAGCUCUACCUCGCCGGAGACACCGGAUCAACGUCGUCGGACUUCACCCGACCGCCGGCGUACGUAGACCGAGCUCCACGGUGAGUCUUUUUUCGAUUCCUUGCACGGGUAGAUUCAUUAGCACCCCGUGAAGCUCCAUGUGCCCUUGGAUUGAACUCUACCACCAUGAAUAGGCCGGAGCACACACCGCCGACGAGCCCGCCCGCCUGCGCACGUGACCCGACCGAUUCCGACCAUCACCGUCGACGAGUCGUACCUAGACGUGACUGCAAGGACUUCCCGGAGCUAACCCCACCCUUCGCCGGACCUCCCUCGCCACCGGUAAGCCGCGCCGCCUUUUUUACUUCCGCGGUCACUGUUUAAAAGGGGGAGGGACCUCGGGGGGAAAGGAGAGGAAGGAUGGGGGGUUUUUGAAUGGUCAGAGACUCAGAUGAAUAGUGCAUAGGGGCAAAGUAGAACUGGCAUAGGAAAAGCCCAGGGUCCUCGAUGAAAACUGGCUUUUCAGAAAACCUUUAAAACAUUAUUCAUUUAAAUACAAACAGAGCUUGUAAAAUUCAUAACUUUAGUUUUAUUCAACCAAAUUUAGUCAAACCGAUUUUGCUAGGUUUUGAAUAAUGUGAACUGCUUAGGAAAAAUACAAAACACCCUAAGUAUUGCAGAAGAUUUUAAAGUUUAGAUUUAAUUAGUAAUCUGAUCCAAGGAUAAAUAAAGAAGGGAAAAAUAGCUACACUAUUAGACUGAGGUUAAAAAAAUAAGAGAGGUACUUAACCACUCCCUAAUCUGUUUAAAAAUAGUACACCCCUCAGUACACCAAAUUAAGGAAGGGUUUACCAUUUAAACUUAUUUUGCUUAAAGUUAAGGAAAAUAAAAAAGGGAGUUUAAAAUAAGAACCAGGGGGCAACCACAUUUUUGCUAGCUCACUUAACUAACAUAGUUCACUGGAAAAUUUUGUUAGACCCUCUGUUAGUACAAAAGAAAUGCACUACCUUUUAUUUUAUAGAAACAAUGAAAACUUAGAAAAACCUUAGAAAAAUAAUCCUGAGGAGAACCGACCCCAAACCUUGGGAUAACUAAUAAUAUGUUAUUAAGAAUCUUGGAAAAAUAUAAGUUCUGUUGUUUGACAUUUUUCAAAUAACAAGUUAGUUAUAAGUACCUUUUUGGCAUUAAAACUUUAGAAAAUCACAACUAAAUAUCCAGUAGGCCUUUUUCUGUGAUAUUUAACACAAAGACCUAUUAUUCUCUAGGAAUCUUGGCAAAAAUAAAUGUUGACCCAGAAACCUCACAGAGAUUAGAGCUAUAGUGUAAAGUGCCCUUUUACCCUUAUUUUUGUUAAUUUUGCACAAGGAGCAUAUGAAUUAAUUUCAACCUUAAAUUCUUAGGAUAACCCACAGAGAUCAAUGUUUACCUACUGUAAUUUUUAUAACAUUGUUGAAAAAUGUUAACUUACCAUGAUAGUGUAAAGGCACUCACUAAGAAGCAUAAUAAAAAGUAAAAUAUGAAAUUUGGAGAGAAUAGUGAGGUGCAACCUUAAAUCUUCCAAAAGCCAAAACAAACCUCUAAAGGAUGACUGAAAUUUUAAAGUACUUCAACAUCCCAAAAAUGAAGAUAUAAAACCCUUAAGUAUAUCCAAAGGAACCCCUAGAGUACCACUAAAUUUAGUACUGUUUUACUAUGCAUAGCCUUUACAAAUUACCAUGUCAUUAAUAUGCAUAUAUCUUAUUCAUUGCAUUCGAUAGACUAUAAUCUCGCUGAAGGGGAGUACAUCCUCGUUCCGGAGCAAGAAGCUGCUCAGGAGGUAGUCCAGGAGCCAACACCAGAGCCUGCCAUCGAGGAUCUGCCUGCCCCAGCCUUGGAAGGCAAGCCCCGGUUUUAUGCAUAGCCUACUUAUUAUGCUAUUUUACACUACUACAGAUCAAGUUAUAUGAGACGGUUAAUUUUUAGUUAUUAAGACGCUUGUGAAGUGUCCAAAUUUGAUGGAGUCGUAAAAGUGUCCCAUAUUUAAGAUGGUUAUAAACCGUCUUAAAAAAUAUUAUAUAAGACAAUUUUUAAUUUAUAACUGUAUAAAAAAAUAAGUACCUUUUUAUGUGAUAUUUAACACAAAGACCUAUUAUUAUCUAGGAAUCUUGGCAAAAAUAAAUGUUGACCCAGAAACCUCACAGAGAUUAGAGCUAUAGUGUAAAGUGCCCUUUUACCCUUAUUUUUGUUAAUUUUGCACAAGGAGCAUCUGAAUUUAUUUCAACCUUAAAUUCUUAGGAUAACCCACAUAGGUCAAUGUUUACCUACUGUAAUUUUUAUAACAUUUUUGGAAAAUGUUAACUUACCAUGAUAGUGUAAAGGCACUCACUAAGAAGCAUAAUAAAAAGUAAAAUAAGAAAAUUGGAGAGAAUAGUGAGGUGCAACCUUAAAUCUUCCAAAAGCCAAAACAAACCUCUAAAGGAUGACUGAAAUUUUAAAGUACUUCAACAUCCCAAAAAUGAAGAUAUAAAAUCCUUAAGUAUACCCAAAGGAAACCCUAGAGUACCACUAAAUUUAGUACUGUUUUACUAUGCAUAGCCUUUACAAAUUACCAUGUCAUUAAUAUGCAUAUAUAUUAUUCAUUGCAUUCGAUAGACUGUAAUCUUGCUGACGGGGAGUACAUCCUCAUUCCGGAGCAAGGAGCUACUCCGGAGGUAGUCCAGGAGCCAGCACCAGAGCCUGCCAUCGAGGAUCUGCCUGCCCCAGCCUUGGAAGGCAAGCCCCGGUUUUAUGCAUAGCCUACUUAUUAUGCUAUUUUACACUACUACAGAUCAAGUUAUAUGAGACGGUUAAUUUUUAGUUAUUAAGACGCUUGUGAAGUGUCCAAAUUUGAUGGAGUCGUAAAAGUGUCCCAUAUUUAAGAUGGUUAUAAACCGUCUUAAAAAAUAUUAUAUAAGACAAUUUUUAAUUUAUAACUGUAUAAAAAAAUAUUUUUAAGAUAUUUCUUCUAAAAAACCGUCGAGAAUACGAACAUUAUAAGUCACAAAGUAUUUGUCAAGUAGUCUAGAAUAUCCUCUAAUAAUAGACACUUGCAACAAAAAACCAUCUUAUUUAGGAGACUAAUAUUGGACGUCUUAGAAAACGUCUUAUUUAAGAGAUUGAUAUUUGAUGUUUUGGAAACCGUCUUAUUAAGAUUUAAACGAAAUGACUUACAUGGCAGCACAUUCUUCAAUCUAUAAUCAUUGUUAGAUAUUGUAUUAUAAUAAUUUUGAAAGAAAAAUAUGCAUACACAUAUUUAUUAACAUUAUAAUUAAUAUAAUAUAAAUAAGUAUCAUUCAAUAUCUCAUUCAAUAUCUCAUAAAUAAGUAUUGUUAAAUAACUCAUACAUAAGUGUACUCUAAAUCAAAACUAAAAUACUAAUGAAAAACUUGCUCAUCAACUAUUUGCGCAAGCAUUGAGCCUAACUAAGUAAAUAUGAAUUCAAGUCUCGAUACUUGUGCGAUCGCCAAAAUUUAGAUCAUUUUAUCUUUUCCUGUACAACAAAUAGGAUAAGUCAAUAAUUAGUAGUUAGACAUAGUUGAACACCUCACAUUGUGACAUAUCAUAAAGGUCAUAUGGAUGUUUUAAAAAGAUAGAAUAAUUUUAGAUUUUGUAUCUUUCAAAAGAACUUACCUUCUCUAGAAUUUGUUGGAAGCAGACGUGCUGACAAUUGGUGAGACAAUCAUUUUUUGCCGCAUCUGAGCAAAAUUUGCAUUCGGGUCAAGCAAAUUUGAUGGACCAAGAAAUAGUAUCCGAAGAAGCAUUAGACAAUCUCCCAUCCUAUUGAAAAUAACUAAGGAAUUAGUUAGUAUUGAUGUCGACAUGUGGUACAUGAUCUUGUACUAUUGAAGAUACCAACAUCUUGUAUGUUUUCCACAAAACUAACCUUUGACCUAAAAAAUAAUAUCAAAAGACAAUCUAUUGUCUAUGAACUCAUAAUAAUGCAUAGAAAAACGGCUAAUCAGUAAUCUAAACAUCUGGGUCAUAAUUACACAAGAAAGAAAAUUGCCAAGUUAGGACAAAUAUUUUGUAGUAACACUGUUAUUCGGUCUCAUAAAUAAACACUCAAUCACAAAAGUGAGAAUUGCAAUGUUCUUAUUCUUUGUGCUCUACCCUGCAGGACGUAACAUUUCUCACACUACAACAAGACCCCGAUGAAGGCUGAAGUCUUUUUUAGCUGAAUUCUUAGGCCUGAUGCAAGCUUUUGGUAUUAAAUUAGCAGUUCCAAAGUUUAAAAUGUGUUUUUGGAGAGUUUGUUUCAGUCCCUUCUGUUGAGUGCAUGUUACUAAUUUCUUUCACACAUUAGUUCUAAGAGUGUUUCUGUCAAGCAGAUACAAGUAGUGCAAAUCUAAACACCACAUAUCUAAACACACAGAUGGGAUUCUUGAUGAAACCUGCAUACGAGUCGGCCUAAGUAGAGGCUCGAGUGCUACUGCUAACAGUAAAGAUGUAAAAAAUUGAAUAUUUAGUCAGGAAUCAUGGUUGGAUUCACUGGAAAAAAAAUAAUCACUACGUUUUGAAGUUGUGGCAUGUCGCUUCAUUCACUAGCACGAUGAGUUUCAGAGGGACUAGAGGCUGCACAUUUUUUUGUGUUCCAGUUUCCUGUUGAAGUAACUCAGGGUGCGAGCCACUUGCAUGGAUGAUAGAAUGAUGCAGCUGCUUUGGCACUGUUUCUGGAUCAAGAUGCUGGGUGUUGGAAUGACACAGCUUUGGAUGCAAGCCAUUUAAAUGGAUCUGAUUACGCAAGAUAUGAUUCAACUAUGGCAGCUUUCUUAUAUCAGAAAGGAUGAACAUUGUAAUCCCUAAGUACUCAUUAAAGUUGCCUUUGUUUUCUGUUUCAACCUAUUUAAUUUAGAAAAUAUUGCUUGGCCUAUGCAGACAUGUUUGUGAAUCUCACAACCAGGUCUUUUGUGUCUACCAUCCUUUUUUAUUCAUAGUGCUUCUCUUUGUCGCAAUAGCUUGCUUUGUUGUUAACUACCGCCAAUAUAAAUACAAGUUUCGACAUGCGCAAAUUAUGAAAACACUUUUUUUGGUUCAUAACAUUUCCUAAUGUGCAAGAACAAGAGAAACAGAGGUCUGGCAACCAUGACCUCAAAGGAAGGGUAGGCACACACCUGGCCGAUCGAGUCCAUGUGUGCAACGAGGAUCUUCAAGGCUCACAUCACCGACGCCAUUGCAGCAAGCCUAACAACAGUCAAAACAUGCAUUAGGAUUUAGGAGUCAACUAAAAUAACAAUGAUGACAGAAACGACACAUUGCCACCAUGUAUUAAGCUAACUCCAAGUAACAACAUGUUGCCUUACUUGAAUUUGCUGUACUAAUACGAUUAUAUUGGCAAUAUUGAUUUUUCAACGGUCAGAGAAUCAUUAAACAUGAACAUCAGAGAAUCAUAAAUUAACCAUCUUGUUACUGUUGAGUUACUGUUAAUGAUUAGGGUAAGGAACACCCUUUUCACCUACAACUGAACCAUAAAUCAAAUAGUUAAACUCUGAUACAUGCUUGGAUGGCAGACUCUGAUCUGUGCUUGGAUGAUGGCAGACCAGUGCUAGGGCUUUGCUUUGUUAGACUACAAAAGGUAAAAUGGAUGCUUAUGAUUUCAAAAAAAUCACGGGCAUAAGUUUAGACAAGAACAUAGAGUUGUUUAAUCAACUAAUCUUUGACAACUUAUUCAGUUUUUAUGCAGUGACGGUUACAAAUUCAUGUGAUCGCGAGGUAUCCUGCAAGCUUAUCUUUGACAACUUAUUCCUAUUUUUUGCCACCAUUUUUAUGGUGUUCACUGCAGUAGCUGCAGCCAAUGGGCUCCAUAAGUGGGCACUAACAAAAACCAAGGUCACAGCUAUUUUAUAUGCUGUGAGUAUGUCUAGAAAGCAUGUAUGCUUAAACCACAUCACUUGCAUAGCAGUGGUGCCAAGGUUUAGGAAACUCGAUCUCUAGUUAACUAUUCUAACCAAAACUCUAACUUGUACCUUCAGAGAAUUUUUGUGUCUUGUAUGAGCUAUGCAAUCAUGACAUGGGCAAACAAAAUCCUUGGACCUUUGCUAGUUGUCCUCUAUAACCCACUAAAACCAGCUUUUUCCACCGACCUCUCAACUAUUUUUCUUGGUGCCCCAGUUUACACAGGAAGGUUUGGUUCCGCUCACUGCCCAAUAAUUAUCCUAAAUGUGAUUUUCUUAACAUUGUUAGAGCAUAUCCAUGAGUUCCCAAAAAACACCCUAAACUUAUAUUUAGCAAGUUGCUAAAUACAUAUAGGGAACAAGAAUAAUCCUGCUCUCCAAUGGUUCCCAAUUUUUAGUUUGUUAAAUACUUUAAAAAUUGCAUCUCCAUACUGAAAUAAUGCGUACUGCAAAUUUAGUAUUGAAAGGAUGUAAACACUCGCAAGCUGCAAAGAGGAUCAAUUACUAGAUUAGCAAGUAAAACAAAAAAACACUAGAAUAGCAGUCAAUUGUGUCAUCUGCUGACAACUGUUUGACGUGUAUUUAAAGCCAUACUGAAACAACUCGUACUGCAAAUUCAGUAUUGAACAUUAGCAUUUCCUAAGCUUGUUGUGUUUCCCUCAAGAGGACCAGUGUUGACUUGAAACGCAUACAACGAUCAGCAGACACGAUUGGGGCUGCACAUUCAGUUUGCAAAAUAGGACAUAAAUAUAUGUACCACCAUAUUUUCAACUCAAAAAAGAGGAUACACAAUUACACAUUCAGUUUGCAGACCAUAGAUAAAAUUUGAACAUAUUCAGUAGAGUACGACAGAUCUUAUAUUCUUGAAACGCAACAAAUUUUCAAAACUAGAAUAGUAGUAUUUAGGAAACAAAUAUUUGAACAGAUCUAUAAGCCCAAGAUUAUUUAGGAAAUCAUUCAGUGAAAUUUUUACCAUUCAGCUUAUGAUUUGGCUUUGAUGAUAGAUUAUUGUCCAUUUGUCCUUAAUGGGUGGAAUCUGCUGCAACUCAUCUAGGGUUGUACAGAUGUCUUGUAAAGUUUCUUCAUAUUCUCCUUCACUCGACAAUUGGGUAAAACUGACAACCAUUUCUGAAACAAUAUGCAAACAAAAUUAGAAGUUCUACAUCAGAAUGCCAAGGACUAGAGAUUGCUAAAUAAAAUUUCCAGAAACUACAAAUAUGAAGUCUUACAAAUUCAUUAACUAGAACCAGAGUAUCACAAACAUAUUACUUCAACCCAUCAUUCUCUGCAUUCAAAUUUGAAACUGCCAUUCAAGAACAAAAACUAGGCUUUUCUAACCUACGAGUGAAGAACCUACGACUACGACUGAUCUAAAAUCGCUCUGAAUUCCACAGUCCACAAUGACUAGUUCCUACUCUUGCAAUGAGAAAUCUAGGCCAGUUUGUGAAUUCCCCAUCCGCCUCUUAGAGAAUGUUCUCUCCCUGGGCACCUUGACUCGACGAGUGAGACAUGAACGUGGAGGCACAAAGCGUUACCUGAUGAGACGAGUAGUGGCGGGAGUGACCAGGAAGACAAUGGUGUCUGGAGGGGUAGGCUAGCUACAACAAGGUAGGGUUUGGCCAUUUGGAGGAGGGGCACAGAGGCGGAGAUGACCCAGACACGGCCAACCGGCUUAAGGACAUCCAAAUGGCCGGCGGACACGCCCGAGAAAGAGGAGUACGAGCCCAAAGGACGAAGAGGUGCCUGGUCGACCGGGGGAGAGUCGCCAUGACCGGGAGGCCGCCGACACUGCCAUGAUGCGAGACUGCACAGAUCUAUUCAUAUGAUGUGCCCCUCCAACCGCUAUGUGACGCGGCAGCGGCUACCACAACCAGCUAUUGUUGGUGUUCCCUGUCACCACCGUCGUCCACCAUUGCGAACCGGAGCCACAUCACGAGGAGAAGUCUGCCUUGGAAUGGCCAUGGAUGCGAGCAUGGGAACGGGCCACGACGUCGGUGGCGGCAUGGGAAGGAAGAUCGCAGCGGCGCAAUGAUGAGCAGGCAGGGUCGGGCGGAGCAACAACACGCGGCCAUUUCUGUGUGACGCGGGGAGGAAGAGGGUGCGGCGGCGGGAGGAGGGAGGCAUGUUCGGGAGAGUUAGGGACGGAGAGAAACUACACCAGUACAUAAGAUAACCGAGAUCAUAAGGAAUCAUUAUAACAUAUAGAUGUUGGGUUUUUAGUGUGAUUCUCUGAAGUGGCAGGGUUUUUGAAGUUUAAUAAUGUAAAUAUAAAAGUAUUGAUAUAUUCAAUAUGGGAUUGGGAUGGAUAUAUCUUUCUAAACCCCUUGGUACAUAAAUGAUAGGAAUUAAAGCAAAAUAAUAACUUAGGUCUGUUGUGUGACACAUUAAUGAUCGAGGCACGUGUGGGUCCAUUUUACUACCUAUAUCAAGUUACAGAGUUAAGUUUUACAUUUUACAUCAUAUAUAUAUCACCAAACUAAGCUAAAUUCACUAUUUACUAUAAUUUUUUUAUUAUAAGACGAUUUUAUAUUUAAAAGUGUCUAGUAUACUCAGUAACAUCUAAGACAAUUUUUAUAGUCUAGACGACUCUAAUAAGAUUUUUAUUUGAGAUGGUUGCAUAUACAGAAGUGUCUAUACACUAACAAAAGUCUAAGACAAUUCUUACAAUCUUAAUGACUCAAAAGAUAUAUUUAUUUGAGACAGUUUUCAAUAACGAUCCAUCUUAAAUCAAUAUAAGACAUUUCUUACGAUGUAACUGUCUCAAUAAACUUCUUUAUUAAAGACGGAUCUUCAAUAAACCGUCUUACCUUACUCAUCACCAUAUGAUAAAAGACGCUUCUAUAAAAUGCACGAAUAUCCGUCUUAAAAUGUGCGUCUUAAAUAAGCAUAUCUCUAGUAGUGUUACUACACUUAAUGUUUGUAGGUUUGUAAUGUGCACUUAAGUAUAGGAGUUGUUUGGAACCUUAGUUGCAUGAACUUAGGAUACCUUUUGAGAUGGAUACUAGUAUGCUAAGUCGAGUAGCUACUUUACUAAUUAGGGAUCUCGGUAGAAGUCGAGUGAUUUUUUUAGCACUCGAGCGAGGUCAGGAAUUGCUUGUAUCCAAUUAUAUAUCGUAAUGAUGAUGGUCUGUGGACAACGGUCCAUGGGGAUGCGUUGUCUACGAGACGAAAAUUAGAAUAAGGAUUAAGGUGUGGUACCGUGUGUCAAGCAUUUGAACGUACUAAGCACAUACCAAGAAAUAUGGUAAAUCGGUAAGCCUAGUACCUGAGUGAACCUGGCAGUAGAUUGCCCUCCUCACGUGACCUAAGACGUGGUCUCCCAUUCCGGUUAUGGUGUGUACAAGUGCGGUCACUGCACGACGGCAGUCGGGGUCAGUGAGGCAUUGUACGCCAAGGCGGUGAGCCCCUCUCUGCUGACGGGGAAUCGAUGGAGACGGUUGAUGUGUGUGGGGACAGAGUGCCUCACCACGUCGUGUGUUUAGGUUUACCUUGCAAGGUUUAAAAACUCGAUUCGAAUCGUCUGCUUCUCGCAGCUAAUGAGACUGCUUGAUCGAUGCUGCUACAUUGAGUAACAAGUGGAAAUGUGUUGACUGGCAAAAGAUGUUGAUCGAUAUAAUGUUUGAUACGAUGUAUGAGUAGCUAGGUAAUCAUCUAGUUUAAAAAGGAUCAUACUAAAACUUGAAACGCUAAAACUUGAUUUUAGACUCGACUAGUGCUUUUGGCAAACCAAACCCCUCAGCCAAAAAGCUGCAUGUCUAGAGGUAGAAGAGUAGACUCCUCACACCGGGUAAGUCUAGCUGAGUAUUAGUAUACUCAGCCUUGCUUGUGGCAUAAUUUUUACAGGUUCUCUGGAGGACAUGGUUGCUGGAGCGACUUGGUCGUCCAUCUUGCCACCGGGUUGGACAGUCGAGUGGGACCCUACCUCGGCAAAGGAGGAGCAUGAGGAGUGAUGGGUCAGGCUUCCCCAUCUCCCUGUAUAUUUAUCGUUAGUUAUAUUCCGCUGCAGUCCGAACAAUGAUCACUACUUUUGAGAAAUUCCGAUGAUGUUGUAAUAAAUUAAAUACUCCUUAAUGCAUGGUUUUAUGUUUUAUUGUACUUUCUCUGUGCCUCACCUUCGAGUGAGUACGUGGUACUUGAUCCUAUUAGUGGCCUCGUCGGACUAGAUCCGAGGGACUGACGUUUUAUUCCUAUUUAAGUGUGGUCUAGCCUUUAAGGUGGGACUUAAGCACUUAAGUUGGAAUAAUUCGGGCGGUUCCGCCACAAGAGGAUCCCAAGGUUGCUCUUAACCAUGAGCUCGGCUGAUAUAACAGUUUCUAACACUCUACAGAGGUUGUACACUUUACCCACGAGUCAUGAUCCCUUUCCAUCCUGCGUUGUAUAGACUCGGUCUUCACUACCAAGGUGAAUGGCUAGGGAUACACUACGUAGCAUUUACAAAGACUCUCUUGGUGCAUAGCUGCUUAUUAGGUUUCGCCAGUCGUACAAAUGCAGUACACCUCCCCAAGGUGGGUGACUAACAAAACCAAAUUGAAUGAACCUCUGCAGCCCCCUUGGCAGAGCGAGCACUACGCCUCGGCCCCAUUGACGGCCCUCCGGCAAAGCCAACUACACCCCCGGGUUCAUCUAAUUAAUCAGCUAAGGGUGUCCCAUUCCACCCUCAUGGUUGCACUGUUAUCCUGGGUGGUCACUCCACGAACAGGUCCUUACAGAGAGGUACUCAGGAAAAAGACCUGAGCCCCCUAGAGUAUCACAAGAUCAUCAACAUAAUCAAGAUAACAGUAUCGUAUCAUAAAUGUUCACAUCUUGUUCAUUGAUUAAAGUUAAGGCAACAGCAAAAUGCUAACCAUGAUUAACCCAAAAAGGUAGACAAGGAUAAGGUAAAUACAAACUAGUCAAUCCUUAGGUUUAAAUAAUGUAAUGCGGGACAGUGAAUCAUAAGGUAGGUAGGACAUAAUAGGUAAGAGGACACUUGCCUUCACUAGGUUGUUGCUCAGGAUGGUCUCCAACAACACACUCAAGAACCUCGGACUGCUCGUUGUCUAAAUAAAGUGAGCAUGCAUUCAAUACAUUUGGAAAGUACAAAUGAACAACACACCAAACAUGUACAAACAUAGGAAUACAUCUUAAAAGACACAAUACUACAUAAGGGAUAAUGAGAUCAAAGUGUAACAUAAACUAUAACAUAAACUAACUUCAUUUAGAAAUAGAUUAUUAUUCCUUUAAGUAUUGCCCAUGUUGGGGGGCCUUCGUCUUCCGAAGGUCCUCAAAAACAUGAUUUAACAAUGUUUUCCAUGUGUAACAUAUGAGCAGGUACCUUCAGACUCUGGUUAAAAGCAUACAAGAUAUGAAAAUCAUGGUCGUGACGAAGGCUGAUGUUGCUCUGAAGCUACGCACAAGGGAGCUUUGGCUUAAUGGCCGAAAAAGGAACCGACUUAAAGGGGAAAAGACUAUCAAGUCCCCGUCGGGUUGUCCAUAAGUUAAUAGUAAAUAUGAAGGGCAUGAAUGUAAAUUUACACAGGCUGCGCCCUGUGCCUAUAAAUAGAUGAACAGUACCCAGUCCCGUUCAUGCUGACUUGUAUUCAUUCGUGCGUCACGCUUGGACUUUUGCCUUCUGUCAAGCCGAAGGUACAAGUGUAAUUCAAUAUUAUUCAUAUUCAUUUAUGAUGAUUUAAUAAAGAUAUGUUAAAGAUGUUGUGUGAUUAUUCAUGUUGUCUUUCAUGAUUCAUAUGUUUCUUCUUUCAUUAAUAUAUACUGCGGUGAUGAAGGUACAUCCUUCACGACCUUCGUCUGAAGAUCAUUAUAUCCUAAGGGAGAUAAUGCUUCGGAGGACGAAGGGCUUUAAUCAUUAACAUUCUGUGUUGCCUUGUUCUUAACUCAUAGCAUUUGAGAACAAGUCCCCAACAUUGGUGCCCACCUCCGGUGAACUCAUUCGACCACCUUCGGCAAGCACUGACCUUCGUCAUGCCGCCGAAGAAGAUAACAGCGCCAGGGGCUGCUGCACUGCAACCACUGGACACGAACCAGGAGACUCUCUCUCUCCAAGAGGCUCGAAGCCAGAAGAGAAAGGCCACCAAUCCAACAUUCAAGGAGGAGGAGUUGGACCAAGGGAUCAGGGACAUGGAAAUCAUCCAUCAACAAGUGCAAAGGAAAAAUGAGAAGAUGGCUUGACUGGCCAAUCUUCAAAGGAAGAUCGAUAAAGCUACUGAGGAAGUGCGUCAGCUUGCUCAAGAUGACCAAGACCAAAGGCCCCAACAUAGGGAGCUUCAUCAAGAGGGCCUAUUCAACGAAGAUGGAUUGUAUGACGAUUUCAGUCAUAAUACCUUUACUUUUGAUGAUGCUUCUCCCUUGGCAGCAGAACUGCAGGCUACCCCAUGGCCUCCAUCAUACAAACUACCUCAGCUCCCCAUGUAUGAUGGGCACUCAGAUCCAAAGCAGUUUCUGAUGAGCUACGAAGCAACUAUAUCUUCAUAUGGGGGCAAUACCGCAGUCAUGGCGAAGUCCUUCGUCAUGGCAGUCCGGAAUGUAGCCCAGACAUGGUAUUCUUCUCUUCGGCCAGGGACAAUAACGUCGUGGCAGAAGCUCAAGGAUAUUCUGGUUACCAGUUUCCAGGGUUUUCAAACGAAGCCAGUCACAGCUCAGGCCCUGUUCCAGUGCACGCAAGACCAUGAGGAAUACCUUCAAACAUAUGUCCGAAGGUUCUUGUGACUAAGGGCAUAAGCGCCCACAGUGCCCAAUGAAAUUGUCAUUAAGGCCAUGAUCAAGGGUCUUCGACCAGGACCUACAGCUCAAUACUUCGCCAGAAAUCCCCCACAAACUCUGGAGAAGCUGCUUUAGAAGAUGGAUGAGUACAUCCGGGCUAACAACGAAUUACGCCAAAGAAGGGAGGAAGCUUACAGAUUCUCUGAGAUGACCAGGGGCUUUGGAGGAAGAAUCCACCCAAGGCAUGUCAGGUCGAUCCAUAGCUCCAGUCAGAAUGACGACAAAGGAAGCCAGCCUCAGAGGUCACAAUACACCUCACAAUCUUCAGGGCAACAACAAAGCUCUUUUAGGCCACCAGCUCCAAGGGGUAGAGGCGCCAGGGGCUUCGGAGGAAGAUAUGGGGAUCAGCCUAGGAAGAUCUAUUAUUUAUUCUGUGGUGAGGACAAGGGUCAUACUACAAGAAUGUGCCAAUUCACCAUUUAGAAGCAAAAGGAGAUCGCAGAAACUGAAGCUCGGCAAAAUCAGCCGAAACAGGUCUUGCACACUGCUUCGUGCCACUCUCCCUACAUACUAGAAUAUGUGGGCAAUCAUCCUGCAGCUUCUGUUGCUUCAGCUAGCCAUUCACAAGCUUCCUGGCCACAGCUUCCACCCCCACCACCACUACAACCAACCUAUUCCCGAAGUCAGUAGCCAGAAGGGCGCUAGCACUCCCAACAGCAAUGUGAAAUCAGGGAGGAAUCCGAAGCUCGCAUAGUCAACAGUACUAUGCCAGAAUCAAAGCACAUUUAUUGAGCGAUAUCCUACCUCUGAAAUACUUUUAUGUUUUAUGUCAUUUUGUUUUUCAAUAAGGGACAAGCACUGUAAAUCUAGUUUUAAAUUCUUGUAAUGAUUUUGUUUCUAUUGAGAUGGAAUAUAUCUUCUUCACAGAUUUACGAAGCUCAAAAAUCGUUGAAGUUCAAAAGUCGUUCCUAAGGGAGCUUAGCGUAAGUUUUGCCGAAGCUACAACAAAGUCGUUCCUAGGGGAGCACAGUGUAAGUUUUCUGCUCAAAAGUCAUUCCAAAAGGAAUGUAGAGCCAAAUACCACCGAAAUAUAAGGCAAAGAAGUUCAAAAGACGUUCCUAAGGGGAUGCAGAACUUAUACCGCCGAAAUAGAAGGCGAAGAAGUUCAAAAGACGUUCCUAAGGGGAUGCAGAACUUACACCGAAAAAUAAACGGUGAAGCCGAAAAAUAAACGAUAAAGAGAUUCCAAUCGUUCCUAAGAGGACGCAGAGAUUGUGUGUUUCCGUGUGGGCGUGUGAGUGUGGGUCUUCGGCAUUAGCAUCAUUUUUUGCAUCAUAUCAUCACAUCAUCCCGCAUAGCAUCACAUCAUACAUCAUAUCGCACCAAUAACACGAAUUGAAUACGAAGUCGAUCUUUGGAGAAUGCUUUGAAAAAAUGAAAAUGUGCUAAAGCACAAAGUAAGAUGAUAAAUAUAGCUUCAUCAGCUCUAUUGUGAAAGAAGGGAUCCCUUGUUCACGAAGCAUGGAUGUUUCUACGAAGCACGGAUGUUUUUACGAAGCAUGGAUGUUUUUACAAAGCAUGGAUAUUUUCAUGAAGCACGGAUCUUUUUCUUUACGAAGCAUGAAAAGAAGGGAAGGUGUUUUUUUUGCCGAAGGCUCAAAAAUGGUAUGUAUAUAAAGUUUCAUGCUUCGCAAAGAAGUGAAUUACGAAUAAUUUACAUAUUAGAUUCAAAGAUAUACACAUCAAAUAUUACAGUCUUGUUACAACAAAGCUACAUCGACCAUCUAAAAAUGUUUUUAUAAUAAGCGCUAGUCUUCUUUCAGGAUCUUCUCCGCAACUUCAUUUAGCAAUUUGUUGACGACUUCGUCAACAAUAGAUUCAGCCAUAUUAAUGACCUCUAGUGCUUCCUUCAUUUCUGGAUCGGCCAGGGGAUCAAACGGUUCUGGUGGCGGAGAUAAUUCAGCUGUAGUGGAAAAAUCAAUCAGUCCGAAGCCACAAAAACAAAUUCUGAAGCUGAACAUCAAAAGAUAUUACCUAUAUGUUUUUCGCGCUCAGCAGCUUCUUCAGCUCGCCUUGCUUCAGCUCGGACGUCAUGGAUGUCUUUUUCACUUUUCUUCAUAAUUUCAUGAGCCAUUUCUCGGCCACCAUUCACCCACACAUCAUUAUAAAAUUUUCCGCCCAUCAAGGUUGCUUCAGCUGAAGGAUCCUUCGUGACGUCUGUGGAGAAGGCAGCUUCGGCCUAGGCCAUGGUUUUGAUGUGAUCGCUUCCCGCAUUCUCCAAGAUAGCUGAAAUCUCAUGCGCACCGAAAAAUGCACAGACAUCCCCGUGAUCACUUAAGAUUUCUUCGAAGCUCUCGUCCUCCCCACUUAUUCAUUCGAUAACACCUUUAGGGUCGCCUUGUAUGAAGUUUUCUUCGGUAGAAUAGGCACCCACGUUGGCGAAGCUAGUUUUUAUUUUCUUCACACAGUCCAAGGAUUUUUCAAAGCAUCUUUCCUUGGAUGUGCGAAGUUCAUCAACAGUUUUCUCUAAAUAGUUCUUCCAAUAUUCGCUGAUCUCUCGGUUAGCUUUUGCGAGUGCGCAUUUUUCUUUGGCUUCUGCUAGCUGUUUCCAAAGGUCUUCAAUUUCAUUCUUAUGGAUUUCGGCUUGAGCCUUGAAACUAGCUUCAUCUUCUUUCACUUUGUUUACUAAUGAAAUCAAGAUUUUGUCUUUUUCAAGACCUUCGUUUCUUAAUUCGAUUACCUCUGAAUGAAGGUUGUUUAGAGCCAUCGUAUAUCCUUCAUCUUCAAUGUUUUUCUGAGCCCUAAGCGCAUUGCUAAGAAUUAAGCCCUGCAAGAAGAGGAUAGAAUUGAGUAUAGCAAAUAAAAUAUUUCAUUUUCAAAUACAAAAUUAGUAUUUAUACCUUUAUGCUAUUGUACGCUAGACUGUCAGCAAGUUCGUCCUUCGACAAAAUCGAAAGACCGUCUUCUAGCUUCGGAAAUCCGAUGCUUCUACCUAUCUCCCGGCAAACGGAUAUUUCUUUAUUAUCCAGGAGACCGUAUAAAAAAUCUUCUUCGCCACUGCCAUUGAACACUAACGCCCCCUUCGGAUAUUUCAAUUUUUGGGCACAAUGUUGUGCUUCUAGCUUUUCUUCUUGGGAUAGUUCUUUUCCCGAAGCAUGACAAAUGAUAUAGUCAAUAUCUUUAUCCAAAGCUUCAGGAGCAGAAGCUUCCAUCUUUGAUGAUGCUAUUUGUUCUGUCGCCUUUUCUUCAGAUGCGGCAGGCAUUGUUGCGAUAGGCACUGAAGGCGUAGCUUCGGUUUCAGCUCGAAUUUGCGUAGCUUCGGUUUCAGCUUGAACUUGUGCAGCUUCGGCUUGUCUAGUUUCGGUUUCGGCCUGCGACUUAAUUUCGGUUCGAACGACUUUCUUUACAAGAGCAGGGCUCAAAACUUUCAUCGUUUCCAACACAACAUCCAGCACGUUUGCCAUUCUUCUCCUCUUAGGAGUGGCAGCAGAAGUCUUUUGUAUCUUUGGCAGAUCUGCCUCUAUCGGAAGUCUCAGAGACUUUGGCGUUUUUGUUAUCUCGUUAAUCUUUGGCUCUUCAGCCUUUUCAGCUUUAUCUUCGGCUGACUUUGCUAUAUGUAUCUUCGGCAUUAUAGCCGGCUCUUCAGUCCUCUGCACAUGAGGAAUAGUUUAUUUUGUUUUGACAGCUGAAGAGGCCCCUUCGCCAAAUUCAGGUAUCACGGCCGGUUCGAUGUAACGUGGUCGGUGAGACAGAACCUUCAACUUUUUUUCCAUCGGCCUAGGCUCAACUGGGGUGGUCGAAGUAGCAAUUUUCCUCUUUUUCCCAUGUCCCCACAGCGGAUAGCGGUAAUCGGGGUAAACGAAGCCAAUGGCGUCAAAAACUCUAUUCAGUCUCUUCUUUCCCCGACCUCCAAAGGCUGCGGACAGUGCAUUAUCUUCUGCCUUGGAAUAUGCUCCAAGUAGUUCAUCACUUGUAGCUUCGAUACACUUCAGCCAGUCGUCGUUUGGUUCAUCAAACUUAUCCCCAAACCUGAAUGUAUACUUCAGCCGGACCAAAUCACCUUCGCUAGAGUUAGUGAUGGUCUCCUUCGGCAUUUCCCAGCUUUCUACAAGUGGCCAUACUCUGAAGGCUAUAUGUCGUUGAAUUAAAUCUCUUGUGCCAAUGAAGGAGCAAACAGUACUGAAGGCCUUCUGACACGCUUCGGCGGCGUCAUCAAUUUCGACCUUCGGCCUUCGGAGGCCGAAGCGGGACUAGAUGGGGUGCAUAAUGACUUCCUUAAUGUCUUCCCUCGCUUUCAAAUCAUUCUUCACAUAAAACCAUUCUUCCAUCCAAGCUCCGGGCCAUCUCUUCUGAAAUGUUGGCACCGGGUGGCUCGCGUUGGGGCGAGCGAUAAAUCCAUAACAACACAGAAGUUGUUGUGGUACUGUUAUUUACCCAUGGCCUUCGUCUCAUAUAGAAGUUCGUGCAUACUGCAGAAGCACUUGGCGCUUGGCUCAAGCCCCUGACUCUUUACUGCCCAGACAAAAAUCCCCAUCCUUAUUAUAGCUUCGGGGGUAAUCUGAUGGAGGAAGAUCUGGUAGGUUUUCAACACUUCGACUACAAACUUGCUCAAAGGGAACCGAAGCCCAGCCUUGAAGAAGCUUCGGUAAAUUACAACUUUGUUUUCUUGAGGGGCAGGGACGUUGUUGUCUCCACCAGCCCUCACAAUAGACAUAUCCCAAAAGUACCUUCCUCUCAUGUUCUCAAGAUGACUCUGUUUGAUGGUCGAUUUUCUGAAGAUUGAAUGACUUGGCCUCCAGGGCCGAUCCUCAAAAUCUUCAUCCCCACUUUCCACAUCAUAGCUAUCGUUGUCACCAGUAUCUUCAGAUAAGCCUUCCAGUAUCUCUUUAGUAAUUUUCUCUAUGUUUGUUUUUGCCAUCGACUCGACAAAUCCAGCAAUAUAAGGAUCCACAGUCUUCUUCUCCUCAAAUAGCUUCUCCUCUUCAGUAAGCUUCGUCUCAGCAGCAACCUUCUUUUCCUGAGACAUUUUUUCUUCAGAAAUGGUGAAAACGCGUCUUUUAAACCGAAGCUCAGAGAGCUUGAAAAUCUAGCAAACCCUAGUGAGCAAGAGCUAUAAAAUUGAGGAAAAAUGCAAAUGGCAGCAGCAGCGUAUCAAAUGCAGCUGGUGUGAGUUCCUAUUUAUACGCCCAGUGCGCUGCAAAAUGGAGGGCCCCAUCUAUCAUUGUUUAUUGCUAUUCUAGCAAAGGGAAGUUGUUUUUUCGGAUCUUUGGCUUAAGGCCUUCCUCCAUGUCGCAGUUUGAAUUUGUUAUCUUAACAAAUUAAUACUGCGAGGGGCUACUGUUGGGGGCCUUCGUCUUCCGAAGGUCCUCAAAAACAUGAUUUAACAAUGUUUUCCAAGUGUAACAUAUGAGCAGGUACCUUCAGACUCUAGUUAAAAGCAUACACGAUAUGAAAAGCAUGGUCGUGACGAAGGCUGAUUUUGCUCCGAAGCUACGCGCAAGGGAGCUUCGGCUUAAUGGCGGAAAAAGGAACCGACUUAAAGGGGAAAAGGCUAUCUAGUCCCCGUCGGGUUGUCCAUAAGUUAAUAGUAAAUAUGAAAGGCAUGAAUGUAAAUUUACACAGGUUGCGCCCUGUGCCUAUAAAUAAAUGACAAGUACCCCAGUACUGUUCACGCUGACUUGUAUUCAUUCGUGCGUCACGCUUAGACUUUUGCCUUCUGUCAAGCUGAAGGUACAAGUGUAAUUCAAUAUUAUUCAUAUUCCUUUAUGAUGAUGUAAUAAAGAUAUGUUAAAGAUGUUGUGUGAUUAUUCAUGUUGUCUUUCAUGAUUCAUAUGUUUCUUCUUUCAUUAAUAUAUACUGUGGUGAUGAAGGUACGUCCUUCACGACCUUUGUCUGAAGAUCAUUACAUCCUAAGGGAGAUAAUGCUUCGGAGAAUGAAGGGCUUUAAUCAUUAACAUUCUGUGUUGCCUUGUUCUUAACUCAUAGCAUUUGAGAACAAGUCCCCAACAGCCCACAAUUACAUAACCUAGUUCAAUUUAUUUUAUUGUGACCUAAAAGUUAGACCAGGGAUGAAUUCAUGUAAUACACAUCAUUAAUCUCACAAGAUUAAACAUGCUUUAAUCUCUAGGGGUUUCCCCUUUUAUUUUAUUAAAUAAACAAAUUUAAACGUAUACUAGUUCAUAGUUACCCAUAAAAUUAGAAAGCAUAGAAUGUAAAUGGAACUAAUUUAUUUAAACAGAGAAUAAUCCUAUGAACAUUUUGCAAUUUGAAUCACUAAAUUUGGAGUUCACAUGCAAAAGAUAUGAAAUAAACAAGUUUGGGAAUUGAAAGGGAAAUAGGGUUUAACCGUUUCCUAUAAAUAAUUUUGGUGGUUGAAUGCCCAACACAAAUAAUUGGACUAACUAGUUUGCUCUAGAUUAUAUAUUCUACAGGUGCAUAAAGGUUCAACACAAACCAAUAAAAAGAUCAAAAUAGGGUUCAAAAGAAAGGAGCAAAAGAAACCGAAGAGUACAUUGGUCUGGCGCACCGGACAGUGUUCGGUGCACCAGGACCGUACAAGUCCAAACUCUUCACCUUCGGGUUUCUCAGGCGUCACUCCGCUAUAAUUCACUGGACUGUCUGGUGUGCCACCGGACUGUCCAGUGUGACAGCGGAGCAACGGCUCUUCGGCACAACGGUCGACUGCACAGUGCCCCUGACAGCGCUACAGUUCACGGCAGAAGUCAGAGCAGAGGUCAGAGGCGCACCGAAAAGUGAACAGUGCAUGUCCGGUGCAGCACCAGACUAUUCGGUGCCACAAGAAGACAAAGCUCUAACGGUCAAAACCGCCAGAACCCUAACGGUUGGGUGACGUGGCUGGCGCACCAGACAGUGCCCGAUGCGCCCACCGACAGCGGCCACCCCCAACGGUUGAAUUGGUGGUUGGGGGCUAUAAAUACCGCACAACCACCUCCACUCCAACCAUCCAAGCAUUCACUACUUCACAUUCAAUACAAGAGCAAUAGACAUCACUCCAAAGACACAAUUCAAGUGAUCGAUUCGCUCAAAGUCUCCAAUUCAACUCUAGCGCAUUUAGACCUGUGAGAGGAUCAUUUGUGUUUCUUUGUUGCUCUUGUUUGUUUGGUUGGCUUUCUUCUUCCUCAUUCUUGUUCUCUAAGUGACUUGUAAUCAAAGCAAGAGACACCAAGUGUGUGGUGGUCCUUGUGGGGUCUAAGUGACCCGUUUGAUUAAAGAGAAAGCUCACUCGGUCUAGGUGACCGUUUGAGAGAGGGAAAAGGUUGAAAGAGACCCGGUCUUUGUGACCACCUCAACGGGUACUAGGUUCUUUAGAACCGAACCUCGGUAAAACAAAUCACCGUGUCAUCCGCUUUAUUUUUUUGGUUGAUUUGUUUUCCCCUCUCUCCCAGACUCGAAAUUUAUUCUAACGCUAACCCGGCUUGUAGUGUGUUUAAAGUUGUAAAUUUCAGUUUCCGCCUAUCCACCCCCCUCUAGUCUACUUUCAAUUGGUAUCAAAGCCUGGUACUUCAUUUAGAGUCUAACCACUCGAAGUGAUGUCGGGAGGAUCCACCAAGAGGGAGAUGGAAACGGCCACAAGCCACGGGAAGGCUCCAUCAAGGAUGUCCUGCGCCAAAGAGAGGGAGGAAUCACCUCCCCACGUCAAGUCGCACCGGAGUGGCGACAAGAAGAAGAAAAUGAAGAAAGUGGUCUACUACGAGACCGAUUCUUCGUCGCCCUCCACAUCCGGCUCCUACGCGCAAUCUGUCACUUCUAAGCACCAUGAGCGCAAGAAGUUUAGUAAGAUCCCCCUACGCUAUCCCCGCAUUUCUAAAUGCGCUCCUUUACUUUCCAUUCCAUUAGGCAAACCACCGGUUUUUUUAUGGUGAAGAUUAUUUUAUGUGGAGUGUUAAAAUGAAAGGUCAUCUAACCCCACUCCACAAAAGCAUAUGGGAUGUUGUUGAGUAUGGAGCGCAGGUACCACAGGUGGGGGAUAAGGACUAUGAUUCGGACGAGGCCGACCAAAUACGGCACUUUAACUCCCAAGCAACUACUAUACUCCUUGCCUCAUUAAGUCGAGAGGAGUAUAACAAGGUGCACGGGUUAGAGACCGCCAAAGAUAUUUGGGACGUCCUCAAGGCCGCACACAAAGGGGACGAGGUGACUAAGAUCACCAAAAGGGAGACGAUCGAGGGAGAGCUCAGUCGAUUCGUCCUCAACCAUGGGAAAGAGCCGCAAGCCAUAUACAACUGGCUAAAGACCAUGGUGAAUCAAGUGCGCAAACUCGGUAGCACCAAAUGGGAUGACCAUGAAAUGGUCAAGGUUAUUCUAAGAUCACUCGUUUUUCACAAUCCUACUCAAGUUCAAUUAAUUCGUGGUGAUCCUAGAUAUAAGCUAAUGUCUCUCGAGGAGGUUACAGGAAAGUUUGUGAGCUUUGAAUUGAUGAUCAAAGGCUCCAAACAAAUCGUCAACUUGGAGCAAGGCGGCACCUCCACACCCGUGGUGCAACCCGUCGCAUUCAAAGCGACGGAGGAGAAGAAAGAAGAGUCUACAUCAAGUAGGCUCCCCAUCGACGCCUCCAAGCUCGACAACGAGAAGAUGGCGCUCAUCAUCAAGAGCUUCCAUCAAAUCCUCAAGCAAAGGAGGGGGAAGGACUAUAAACCCUGCUCCAAGAGGGUGUGCUACAAAUGUGGUAAGCCCGGUCAUUUUAUCGCUAAAUGCCCUAUGUCUAGUGAUAGUGACAGGGACAACGACAAGAAGGGGAGGAAGAAGGAAAAGAAGAAGUACUACAAGAAGAGGGGCGGCAAUGCCCACGUGUGUCGGGAAUGGGACUCCGACAUAAGCUCCACCGACUCCUCCGACGAGGAUGCCGCAAACAUCACCGUCAACAAAGGACUUCUCUUCCCCAACAUCGGCCACAAGUGCUUCAUGGCAAAGGACGGCAAAAGGAAGAAGGUAAAAUCUAGAGCCUCCACUAAAUAUACAACAUCUAGUGAUGAGGGUAGCUCUAGUGAAGAUGAGGAUAAUUUGCUUACCCUUUUUGCCAACCUUAACAUGCAACAAAAGGAAAAAUUAAAUGAAUUGAUAGGAGCUAUUCAUGAGAAGGAUGAACUCUUGGAUAGCCAAGAGGAAUUCCUUAUUAAGGAAAAUAAGAAGCAUGUUAAGUUGAAAAAUGCCUAUGCUCAGGGAGAAGAAAAAUGUAAAAAUUUGCCUAAAGAGCUUAGGGUUUGCCAGGAAUCAAUUUCCAACCUUAGAACUGAGAACACUAAUUUAUCUACUAAGGUUGAAAAGUUAAAUGUUUGUGAUGAUUCAAUUGUCAGUCUUAGAAAUGAAAAUGCUAGUUUAAUUGCUAAAAUUGAUAAGUUGAAUGAUUCAAUUUCUGUGGCAGAACCGCCCGAAUUAUUCCAGCUUAAGUGCCUAAGUCACGCCUCAAGGGUCGCAACACACUUAAAUCGGAAUAACCCGUCAGUCCCUCAAAUCUAGUCUGAUAAAGCCACUUAACCAGGAUCAAAUACCACAAUCUCACUCGAAGGUGAGUCACAGAAGAAAUACAAUAAAACAGGAAACCUCAAAUUUAAGUACUGAAUUAUUACAUAAAUCAGAGUUUUUCAAGUUGCUGGUAAGAGUUCAUAAAAUAAGAUGCAGCGAAUAAUGAUGUCGUCGAUAGCGAGGAAAUGGGCAAAGCCUAGCCCACUACUCCUCGUGCUCCUCUCCUGCCGGAGCAGCAUCCCACUCGACCGUCCAACCCGGUGGCAGGGUAGUAGGCCAAGUCACACCAUCAACCCUAUCCUGAAGCGUACCUGCAAAAAUUAUGCCACAAGCAAGGCUGAGUAUACUAAUACUCAGCUAGACUUACCCGGUGUGAGGAAACUACUCCUCUACCUCUAGACCAUGCAGUUGUUUAGCUGAGGGGUUUGGUUUGCCAAAAGCACUAGCUGUUUCUAAAAUCAAUUUUUAGCUUUUCAAAUUCUAGCAUCAUUAUCUUAGCUAAGUUUGCUCCUUCUAAGCAUACAUGGUAACAAGCAUUUAGUACAAUCAACAAAUUAUCUCAUGUAACCUCAUUUCACUUCUUACUCAAUGUAGUACAAGGGGUCAAGCAGUCUCAUUCGCCGCGAGAAGUAGAUGAUUUGAAUCAGGUUUUUAUCCUUGCAAGGUAAACCUAAACACACGACAUGUCAGGGUACUCCGACCCCACACAUGUCAACCGUCCCCAUCGAUUCCCUAUUCGCGUCCAGGCCUCACCGCCUUGGCAUACAAUGCUCCACUGACCACGACUGCCGCCGUGCAGUGACCGCACUUGUACCCACCAUAGCUAGCAUGGGAGACCCAGUCUCAGGUCGCGUGAGGGAUAAAGUCCGCGCCCGGCUUCACUCAGGUAAUAGGUUUACCGGUUACCAUAUUUCCCGACAUGUGCUUAGUACGUUCAAAAGCUUGACUCAGGUAUCCACACAUUAAUCCUUAAUUCCUUUUUCCCGUCUCAUGGACAAGGCAUCCUCCCUGGAUCCAAGUCCAUAGACUAACAUAGAUCCUGUUAUCAAGAUGAAUACAAUCAAUUCCUGACCUCACGCGAGUGCUAGAAAAAUCACUCGACUUCUAUCGAGAUCCUGAUUAGCAAAGCAGCUACUCGACCUAGCAUACUAGUAUCCAUCUCAAAAAGGAAUCCUAAGUUCAUGCAACUAGAGGUUUCAAGCAACUCCUACACUUAAGUGCACAAUACAAUCCUACAAGCAUUAAGUGUAGUAAAGUAGCAUAUAUAAAUACGGUUAUGCAUAAAACUGGGGCUUGCCUUCAAUAGCUAGGGAGAUCCUCGAUGGCAGCCUCGGGAGCUUGCUCCUGGUCUUCCUCUUGGAUAGUUCCUUGCUCGGGGAUGAGCACGUACUCUCCGUCAGCGAGAUUACAAUCUAAUGAAUGCAAUGAGUAAGAUACAUGCAUGAUAUGAUAUGUGCUUUAGCAUUUAAACUUUGAUGGUGAAAGAUCCACUUAAAUCAGAUAGAGUUUAAUCUUGCUACUAAAGAUUUUUGGUGGUGUACUUAGUAAUUUAGAUCACACUCAGUUAAAAUAAGUGGUAAGUCCAUUUUGGUGUUCCACUAAAUUUUUUUAAAGCUUAAGUGAGAAUUUGUCAAGAUUUCUAGUUGAACUUAUUGGGGCGAGGUUUAUCUUUCAUUUCUUUCCCUCUAUUUCUUUUAUGCUUUUAAAGUGGGUUUGAACUACAAGCUGUCUUAAGAAAUUUCCAAAAAUUCUUUAAAAAUUACAGUGGCUUCUUACUGGUGUAUAAUUCUCUGUCCUAAAAUUUGGGGCUUAAAGAGUGAAUAGUUCUCUUUGGACAAAAUUAUUAAAUACUAGGGCAGAAGGGGUGUUUUGAAUUACAACUACCAUUUAACAGUAGGUUAUUCUUUAAGACUUAUUUUUGCUGGCAUUUAGAUGUUAUGACAUACUUUAUACAAACUUUUAGCCACUAAUAUCCUUUGGUCAUUUUACUAUGAUUUUCUAAAGUUUCUAAUCAAAGGGGUGCUUUCUACUACCGCUAUAUUUGAAAAAUAUCAAACAACAGAUUUUUGAUUUUUCCUAGCUUCUUCUUUAUGCAAGAGCAAUCAUUUUGAAGUUUGGCAUCUUUUUGCUUAAGGAAAGGGUGGUAGGAAUUAUUUGGAUUAAAUGGCCUUUUUCAUGAAGUAUGGCAAUGGGUAUUAUUUUGCAGCUUCCAAUUGGGUUUUGCAUUUUUCUCUAGUGGCCUAUCUCAUUAUUGAUCUAGUAAAAUUUUAUUUGCCCAUUAUUGCACCAUUUUUGGGUUGCUCAUGAUUUAAUUGAAAUAUGACCCAUUAUCAAGUUAUAUUUGUUUACCCUACCUAAAAUGAUGGGCUGGGGUGUUUAUCAUUUUUGUAGUGGAGUUCUAGUGGUUACAAAUCCAGUGGAUUUUUAUAAUUUUGAAAUUAUUUUUAUAAUUCUAAUAAUUGUUUUUCUGGUUUGAUUCAUGCCUAAUAAAACAUUUCACUUUGAUUAUGUUCUGGACUAGAGGUCCCUUUAUUUUUCCUAGGUUCUCUGUUACUUAAGUAGGCUAGGAAAAAUAAUUGCACUCACUGUUCAUUAUUUUCUAAUGCCUUUCUGAUUUUUCUAGGUUUUGGGUAAAAAUGGCUUUUAAUAGAUAUCCCUACUUAAUUUUUCAAUACUGGGAUUCUCACUAUUUUUAAACAGUGUUUAAAUGAUAAGCAUAGGGUUUAGUAUUUUUAAUUGGUAGUCCAUAAUAUUUAGAAUCCAGCAAAAUUGGUUUGAUAAUUUUUGGUUAAAUAUUUCUCAAGUUAUGAAUUUCCUAAGUUCUCUAUUCAUUAAAAAGAUUAAACAGAAAUGAUUAAAUGGGAAACGACUUUGCAUCGGGGUCCCUGGCGGGUGUUUUCAAUUUCCCUUACAGACUAGUCCUUGGGUUACUAUUCAAAUGUGUCACUGACAGUUCAUAAAACCCCCUGGGGUUCCACUAAACCUAACCCGAGGUCCUUCCCCCAAAUUAAACAGUUCCCGCGAUGGAAGAAAGGGCGGAGGGGCUUAUCGGUUGUGAGACUGCUCCGGUGAGGUGGUCGAGGGUGUAGGGGAGGUCCUGAGGGUCACGGCGAUGUGCGGGUCGCCGUCGGGGAUGGUCGGAGUCGGCCGGUCCACGUGCGCAGGCGAGGGAGCUCGUCAGCGGCGAGGAGUCCGGCCUAACCAAGGCACAAUUGAUCAAUCAAAUGGGUCAGAGAGCUUUACCAGGGAUCAAGGAAGGCGUGUGCGUGAGGAAUUGAAGAACGACUCACCGGAUUGCUCGGUCUACACGCGCAGGCGAGCGGCCGAAGUCCGGCGAGGACGAUCUUGGUUCUCUAGUGAAGUUCUGCCGGGUCCGAGAGCUUGGGAAGCUUCACAAGCUAUUGGCGAAGAUAACCGAGCAGCUAGCAUGGCUUGGAAGUGACCGGAGUGGGCUGGCCAUGGUGGCUGAGGCACGGGUGGCAAUGGCGGGCGGAAAAGAGCUCGCCGGAGCUAAGGAGGGGCGUCUGGCCGGUGAAGGUGAGCACGGGGUGAGGUGAGGCAUGCCUGGGGAGGCUUUAUAGGCGCGGGCGGGCACAGCUGAGGGUGAGGCUUUGACAUGUGCUCGGGGCGUGCGCGGGCGAACGCCAGUGCACGCUUUGGCGCCUAGCAUGGCGUCGAGCACGAGGUAGCGCAGAGAGAGGUCGAGUUCAAGCGCGGAUCGGCUCCAAAUCUUUGAGAUUAUGGCCAUGAUCCCAUUGAGAGAUCUCUUCCCCUAACAUUCCUUUGUCGUUUGUGUGUGGAGGCUUGCAGGUUUUGCUAACUGGAUCAAGAGAUAGAGAGGGGAGAAAUCGGGUUCGUCUCACUGCCGCGCACAGAGAGAAGAUCCCGGGUUUGAUGUGUCCAAGGCACGCGUCCCGAUGCCAUCUUCUGAUAUGAGGUAGAAAGGUUAUUUAGGCACAUUUUUGUCAAUGGGGUCAUUAGGAUUUGAGCUAGGGAUCAUGGUGAACACGCUCGGUCUUUGGCUCAAGGGCUAAAAUUCAGAAAUCUGAAUUUCAGAAAUCCCUAUUGAACCUCCACUUGAGAAGCUUGUUUGGAGUUUUUAUUAAACUAUUUUGGCCAAGCUUCCACAAUCUUUAUUGUAGCUUAUUUAGUAUAUUUCAAUGUUUAUAAUUGGCCUAAGCCCUGAUUUUAUAUUUUUCAUGGUCUUUUACCCCUUUUCUUUAUCUCUACUUAGAUAGCUUGAUUAGGGUUGGUGUUAGGGUUUCAACAUUUUUCCCUUUUUGAAAAAUCCUAUUUGUUUGGAACAUGGUUCUUUAGAUAUACACUUAGUAGAUCUUUAUUUUUAAGUUAAUUUGAUGCUUCAUGCUUAAUUUGGCUCACAUGAAUUGUUGAUUCUGGGGUUAGCACUGAGAGAAACCCUAAGUGACACUGGGGUGUCACAGCCUUCCCCCCUUAAAGGAAUCUCGUCCCAAGAUUUGGGUCGGAGUCCUCCCGAGGUGAAGCGAAGGGUGAGACUUACAGGAAGUGGGUGCUCUGUUAUUAGGGCAAACUGCUCUUCGAAUGUCAUUCUCUUUGCAACUUCAGAAGGAAGUCCUUUUUAAAUUUUGUUUCAUAAUUACUUCGUUCUGAUUUAAGAUCAUAUUUCUGAAAUUUAGAUUCGAAGGGCAGGAGGAGGGGUUGGAUAUGAUUACGUACCAAUUUCCUUAGGUAUGCAAUUGGGGAAGUUGGAUCGCAAGAAUUCCUCAGUCUCCCAUGUAGCCUCUUCCUCUGAGUGAUUACUCCACUGGACCUUAUACAUCUUGAUCGAUUUAGCCCGAGUUGAUCUUAUCUUGCAAUCCAGAAUCUUGGAAGGGUACUCUUGGUAGGAUAGAUCUGGCUCUAUCUCCAAUUCUGGCUCUGCUAUGAUCUCGGUCGGCAAUCGAACACACUUCUUCAGCUGGGAUACAUGGAACACAUUGUGGAUGGUAGACAUUUUUGGAGGUAACUUCAGUUUAUAUGCCAUGGGUCCACAUGCUUCUAUGAUCUCAUAAGGUCCAAUGUAACGAGGGGCUAGCUUGCCUUUGAUUCCAAACCUCUGCACUCCCUUGGUGGGUAAUACUUUCAAAUACAUGAAAUCUCCCACCUCGAACUGGAGAGGUUUCCUUCUCUUAUCGUGGUAACUCUUCUGCCUGGCCUGAGCAGCUUCUAGAUUCUUCCUGAUUAGUUUGACCUUCCUUUCGGCUUCAGUCACUAAGUCAGGUCUGAAAACUUCUCUUUCUCUAGGCUGAGACCAAUUGAGUGGUGUUCUACACAUUCUUCCAUAGAGAGCUUCGAAAGGUGCCAUCCUCAGGCUGGAUUGAUAACUGUUGUUAUAAGCAAACUCUGCCAAGGAGAGGUGCUUAUCCCAGUUCUUGCCAUAAUCGAUUGCACAAGCUCUCAGCAUAUCUUUAAGAAUUUGAUUUACCCUCUCAGUCUGACCAUCAGUCUGUGGGUGCUAAGCUGAACUUCUGAUUAGCUUAGUUCCCAAAGACUCCUGCAGUUGUUCCCAAAAUCUGGCAACAAAUUGGGCUCCUCGGUCAGAAAUAAUGGUCCGAGGCAAUCCGUGCAAACACACGAUCCAGUCAAUGUACAACUCUGCAUACUUUUCAGACUUAUCAAUGGUAUGCACAGGGAGAAAAUGUGCCACUUUCGUUAGUCGGUCCAUCAUCCCAUUUCCACGAGGGUAUAGACAGGGGUUGCAAAGCUCCAGCUGAUUUCAAGUGGCUUGCCUUUAUCCUCUGACAGGUGUCACAUUCCGAUACAUAUUGGGCUAUCUCCCUCUUCAUUCUGGUCCACCAAUACAAGGGCUUCAGAUCAUGGUACAUUUUGGUGCUUCCUGGAUGCAUAGAGAAUUUGGAGAGAUGGGCCUCAUCCAAAAUUUUCUUCUUGAGAUCCUUGCUUUUAGGAACCACCAAUCUGCUUUCAAACCAUAAUAUACCCUUUCCAUCUUGGCGGAAACAUUUAUACUUCUCAGUCUUCUGAUGGAGAUUCUCCUUAAUAAUUUGCACUCCCUUGUCACUGAGCUGGGCCAUGAUGAUCUGGUCUUGCAAAGCUGGCUCAACGGAAAUGUGAGACAAAGCACCAGAAGGAAUCACUUCAAUUUGCAUCUUGCUCAACUCAUCACACAAGGUGUUAAUACGAGAAUCCAUCACAACACAGUUGCAUUGCAACUUCUGACUCAAGGCAUCUACUACCACAUUGGCCUUUCCUGGGUGAUAAUGUACCUCCAGGUCAUAGUCCUUGAUCAGCUCUAGCCAUCUUCUCUGUCUCAUGUUGAGAUCAGCCUGAGUAAAGAUAUACUUAAGGCUCUUAUGAUCAGUGAAGAUGUUGUAGUGGGUUCCCAUCAAAUAGUGCCUCCACAUUUUUAAUGCAUGAACCACUACUGCCAACUCCAGGUCAUGAGAGGGAUAAUUUUGCUCAUGAGGCCUGAGUGCUCUUGAGGCGUAAGCAAUGACUCGGUUGUCUUGCAUCAAGACACAACCUAGUCCAGUGCCAGAGGCAUCACAAUACACAUGAAAAGGCUUGCUGCUGUCGGGUUGCGCUAACACCGGUGAUGUGGUCAGAUGUUGCCUCAAUGCAUGGAAGGCAUCUUCACACUUCUGACCCCAAACAAACUUGGCUUCUUUCUUCAACAACUCAGUUAUGAGCUUCACAAUUCGAGAGAAAUCCGGAAUGAAUCUUCGGUAAUAACCAGCUAAUCCCAGAAAACUCCGAAUCUGAUGGACAGUCAUUGGUGGCUUCCAGUUCAUCACCUCUUGCACCUUAUCAGGAUCAACAGCUAUUCCUGCCUGAGAGAUAGUGUGACCCAAGAAUUUGAUCUCCUUUAGCCAAAAAUCACAUUUUGACAACUUGGCAUAAAGGUGGUGCUCUCGUAGACGUUGAAGCACUACAUGCAAAUGCCGGGCAUGUUCUUCUUCGUUCUUUGAGUACACCAAGAUAUCAUUGAUGAAAACCACUACGAAUUUGUCCAAUUCGGGCAUGAAAAUAGAAUUCAUCAGAUACAUGAAAUAUGCUGGUGCAUUAGUUAGUCCGAAAGACAUCACCAAGAAUUCAUAUAGCCCAUAUCUAGUUGAGAAAGCCGUCUUCGGAAUAUCGCUUGCUCGUAUCUUGAUCUGAUGGUAGCUGGAGCGAAGGUCUAUCUUGGAAAACACUUUGGCUCCAACCAACUAAUCAAAAAGAACAUCAAUACGAGGCAAAGGAUACUUAUUCUUGAUAGUCACCGCAUUAAGAGGGCGGUAAUCUAUACACAGCCUCAAGCUUUCAUCUUUCUUCUUUACAAACAGGGCUGGACAUCUCCAAGGCAAAGUACUUGGGUGAAUAAAACAUUUGUCCAGCAACUCUUGCAGUGCUUCUUCAAUUCUGCCAACUCAGCGGGUGGCAUCCGGUAAGGCCUCUUAGAAAUGGAUGUCGUUCCCGGUUGCAACUCGAUGGCGAAUUCAAUAUCCCGGUCUGGUGGCAUUCCUGGCAAUUCAUCAGGAAAGACAUCUGCAUACUCACAGACCACUGAAAUCUUCUUCAGAGGUAACUCCGUCAUAAAAAAGCACAUGACUGAGUAGAACCUUGACUGGGCAGAAUAAGGUGAAACUCCCACAGAACGGGGAAUUGAUUUCCAUGAUGCGGCUGGCUACAUCAAGCACUACUUGGUGCAGGGUCAUCCAAUUAGCUCCUAGAAUAAUGUCCACAUUUUCCAAACCCAAAACAAGAAGGGUGGUUUUGACAAUGUGGCUUCCCAGUUGAAUAGGCACACUUUGGUUUAAUUGAUUAGUCGCAAUUUUACCCCCAGGUAUGGCUAUCAUAAAUGACCCUUUUGAGUGAUAGAAAGGCAGUUGACAUUUAGCACUGAACUUUUGGCUAAUGAAACUAUGAGAUGCACCAGAAUCAAAUAGAAUUAAAGCAGGUUGAUUAUAAACUGAAAAGAUACCAGUCAUGAUGGGGGCUCCCUCAGGUACUUCCUUCAGAGUAGUGAAGUUGAGCUUUCCUUGCUUGACUUGUAUCUUCUGCUUUCUUCCCUUGUCUUGAUUUGGUGCUGGCAUCUGCCUCUACUGAUUUCUUGGACAAUUCUUGGCAUAGUGACCCACAUUGCCACAAGUGAAGCACUUGUUCCCAUUGCCCUGGCGGAACUGCUGCUGCUGCGGAGGCUGAUUGUUCCUUGGAGCGGGAGCUGGAAAACAAGUGGGUGCCGGCUGCUGCUGCUAAGGUGGCCUGAUCACCCAUCUGCCUACCUACUGCUGAAAUCACCUGCUCUGAUUGUGAGAAACAAUCCUGAACCUCUGGGCUUGAGCGGAUGGUGCUGCCAUUGGUGCCUUUCUCUUCUUCUCUGCCCGGUGAGCUACAAUACAAUCCUCCUGGGAGAUGGCCAGGUUGACCAACUCAUUGAAGCUAUCAGCCCGGACAGUGUUAAGACGUUCCCGCAGCUUGGUGUUGAGACCUCUGCGGAAGCGGUCUCUCUUCUUCUCAUCAGAAUCAGCAUGGUAACCUGCAUACUAGCACAGGUCGUUGAAGUCCUGAGCAUACUGCAAUACCGUGCGGGUUCCUUGAUUAAGUGCCAGAAACUCAUUCAGCUUGCAAUCGAGAAUUCCGGCUGGGAUGUGGUGCCCUCUGAAAGCAGUCUUGAAUUCCUCCCAAGACACUUCACGAUCCGCGGGUAGCAUAGCACGGAAGUGGUCCCACCAAGUUCGAGCAGGGCCGCGAAGCUGCUGCGCGGCGAAGCGAGCCUUGGUUUCAUCAGGGCAAUCUCCCGUGAGGAGGGGAAACUUGGACUCAACGACGCGGAGCCACACGUCGGCGUCCAACGGAUCCUCUGCCUUGGUGAACAAGGGUGGCUGCGUGCUCACGAACUCCUGGUAGGUUGCCACUACCGGAGGUCGCUGAUGCUGGCCUCCACCAUGCUGCUGGGGGUGGGGCUGGCGCUGCAAGUGUUGUCGCAGAAUCUCAUUCUGCUAGGCCAUCAGCUCCUGCAUUGUGGGAGCUGGAGGUGGUGGCGGGGGAACUUGCUCGUUAUGCCCGCGACGCUGCCUAGCUGCCAUCUGAAAAUAGAGAUUGUCGCCAUUGUUAUCCUGAUCCACAAUUUCGAACGACAUGCUAUUAUCUCAUAUGGAAAGAAAAUUGCCAUAACCAUAUCAUUAAGUUCGAAUGAAGAUAACAUGGUUACAACCAUCCCAUAGAUUUUGAAAGUUCACAAGGGUUACAUCAAUUAGGGGAAAGUACCCGUAAGCCUAAUACAAAAUCUGACAUUAACUAAGCUCGUGUAGGUUUCUAUCCGCCUAAAGCGUCAAAGUGACUGAUCAACCCUGAGUGGUGGAAGCGACACUGGAUGCGGGUGAAGGGGGCAUCACGGAGGUAGUCCCAUUGGCACCAGGGGCUGGUCCUAACUCCUCGAGAGCCUCUUCUCCCUCGCUUCUGGCCUCAUUGGCCUCCAUAUCUAAGUAGUGCAUGUCCAGGUGGUCAUUAGCUUCUUCAAGUUCUCGUUGCACAUCAUGAAGCUGGUUCUCCAAGACAUCAAUGGUGUUGUCUCGGAUCUCCACCUGCUACUCUAAGGUGGUAAUGCGUUGGCUCAGCCUGUCCACCUGUAGAUCCUUCUCCACCAACUCGGAGGAAAAGUCGACCACAAAAUCUUCUCGGCUGUCGAGGGUGAGCUUGGUGGUUUGAGCGAUGUUAGCAAGAUGUGCCAUAGCGUCGCUCUGUAGGGCCUGGAGGCGGUACAUCGCACUCAUGCACUGAACAGCGACCCUCCCAACCAAGUCAGGAUACAUUGCCCACAGAUCUUUCACGUGGCUCACACGGUUACACCACAUGGGGUCAUCCUUCUUCUCAGCAGGGAAAAGUCCCAAGGGGUGCAUCACCAUCUCCAGGGGAUGGUAGCCACAGAAAGUUGUCAGAGUCUUCAUUGCUGCCGCUUAAGUGGUGUCGUCCGUCCUGAAUCCAACCGUCUCAGAGUCAAGAGAACGCCAACACGGUUAAAGGGGAUGAGCCUCCAAAGUUAGCCAGACUCGGCAACGAGGUACUCGAUGCUCCUCAUACAACUGCAUCGUGUACAAAUGGGCGUAGGGUAACCGGCAGAGUUAAGCACUUCUCACAAGAUGGAAGGAAAGCCAUCAUGAGAAAGGAAGUCAGAGCUAAAACGAGUGUCUCUUCCACUGGCGGGGGUGGGUGAAUUCAUCUGCGGAAGGGUAUAAAAGGUAAAGAUUAUGGUGGAAGGAAGAAAAUAAAAGAGCCUUGUCGGCGUUUCGACCCCGGGGGUCCCUGGACCGACGAGUAAAUUGUCGCCACGUGUCCCAGCCCAGAUGGGUCGGCGCGAGACGGAGCACGAAGAGGGGAAGAGACAGGCAAAAGGGGAAAUCCCGUGGCCUUCGUGUUGCCCUGCACCCAGGUCGGGUGCGCUUGCAGUAGGGGGUUACAAGCGUCCGCGUGGGAGAGAGCGAGAGAGCGCGAGAGACUUAAGCGCCGGCCCGUUCUCCCGCGCGGCCAACCUUGUCGUACGAGAGCCCUGGACCUUCCUUUUAUAGGCGUAAGGAGAGGGUCCAGGUGUACAAUGGGGGGUGUAGCAGUGUGCUAACGUGUCUAGCAGAGAGGAGCUAGAGCCCUAAGUACAUGCCGUCGUGGCAGUCGGAGAGGUUUUGGCACCCUGUUCAUGUGAUGUCGUGGUCGUCGGAGGAGAGCUGGAGCCUUGCGGAAGGACAGCUGUCGGGGCUGUCGAGUCCUUGCUGACGUCUCCUUGCUUCUGUAAGGGGCUGAGAGCCGUCGUCGUCAUGGAGCACGCGGGGCGCCAUCAUUAUUUGUUUACCGGGGUGAGCCAGAUGGGACGCCGGUCUUGUUCCCCGUAGCCUGAGCUAGCUAGGGGUAGGGUAAUGAUGGCCCCCCCUGUGACGUGGUCGGUCCGAGCCCUAGGUCGGGCAAGGCGGAGGCUCCUCCGAGGCCGAGGUCGAGUCCGUCUUCCGAGGCCGAGGCUGAGUCCGAGCCCUAGUGUCGGGCGAGGCGGAGUUCGUCGUCCGAGGUCGAGGCUGAGUCUGAGCCCUGGGGUCGAGCGAGGUGGAGUCCGUCGUCCGAGGUCGAGGUUGAGUCUGAGCCUUGGGUUGGGCGAGGCGGAGACCGUCUUCCGAGGUUGAGGCUGAGUCCGAGCCCUAGGGUCAGGCGAGGCGGAGUUCGUCGUCUCCCAGAGCCAAGGCUGAGUCCGAGCCCUGGGGUCGGGCGAGGCGGAGUUCGUCGUCUUCCGGAGCCAAGGCUGAGUCCGAGCCCUGGGGUCGGGCGAGGCGGAGUUCGUCGUCUUCCGGAGCCAAGUCUGAGUCCAAGCCCUGGGGUCGGGCGAGGCGGAGCUUCCUAUGUCGCCCGAGGCUGGACUUAGCCGCUAUCGACCUCACUCUGGCGAGUGGCACGGCAGUCGGAGCUGGGCAGGCGGCGCUGUAUUCCUGUCAGGUCGGUCAGUGGAGCGGCGAAGUGACUGCGGUCACUUCGGCCCUAUCGACUGAAGAGCGCGCGUCAGGAUAAGGUGUCAGGAGACCCUUGCAUUAAAUGCUCCUGCGAUACGGUCGGUUGGCGUGGCGAUCUGGCCAAGGUUGCUUCUCUGCGAAGACUGGGCCUCAAGCGAGCCGAAGGUGUGUCCGUUGCCUGAGGGGGCCCUCGGGCGAGACGUGAAUCCUCCGGGGUUGGCUGCCUUUGCCCGAGGCUAGGCUCGGGCGAGGCAAAAUCGUGUCCCUUGAGUGGACUGAGCCUUGACCUUAAUCGCGCCCAUCAGGCCUUUGCAGCUUUGUGCUGAUGGGGGUUACCAGCUGAGAUUAUGAGUCUUGGGGUUACCCCUAAUUAUGGUCACCGACAGUAGCCCCCAAGCCUCGAAGGGAGUGUUGAUACUCGCUUGGAGGCUUUUGUCACACUUUUUUGCAAGGGGACCAGCCUUUCUCGGUUGCGUUUCGUUCUGGUGGGUGCACGUGAGCGCACCCGCUGGGUGUAGCCCCCGAGGCCUCGGAGGAGUGGUUUGACUCCUUCGAGGUCUUAGUGCGUUUCGUGAUGCUUCGGUCAGUCUGGUUGUUCCCUCAUGCAAACUGGCCAUAGCCCGGGUGCAUAGUCGAGUCCCAAGUUCUCGGGCUGGUAUGUUGACGCUGUCAACGGUUUGGCCGGAGUCGGGUUUGCGAGAGCAGCCCCCGAGCCUCCGCACAGAGCGAGAGGACGGUCAAGGACAUACUUGGCUUUUUACAUACGCCCCUGCGUCGCCUUUCCUCAAGGAGGAGGGGGCAAAGCGCCUUGUUGCCCUCGGAGGGCGCCGAACAUGGUGUCUCCAGUGAGUUGCUAAUGGGUAAUCCGAGUGGAUGCCCAUGCCCCAUUCGUUAGGGGUCGGCUAGUGGCCCGGAGGCGCGCUCCAAAAGUACCUGUGGGUGAUUCGCCGGAACGGUCCCCUUUUGACGGGGUCCGAGGGCUCGAUGCCUCCCUCUGGUGGGAUUCCGUUACAAAAUCGUUCUCGUCGGUCUCGGAAAUGUCCUAGGGUACCUUGGGAGCGCAGCCCGAGCCUUGGUUAUGUAUCAAACGUACCCAGGGUCAUCCCUCGCUUUGUGUGCUCUGAGGCGGCUGUCGAACCCUUCGGGGGCCAGCCUACGAACCCCUGAUCAGUAGUGGGCGCGGAGCCCGAGUGGCCUGAGGCGGCCGUUGAACCCUUCCGAGGGGCCAGCCUUUGAACCUCUGACCAGUAGUGGGCGCGGAGCCCGAGUGCUCUGAGGCGGCUGUUGAACCCUUCCGAGAGACCAGCCUUCGAACCUCUGAUCAGUAGGGGGCUCGGGGCCCACUUCCUUCACGGAGAAGGAUCCCUUUCGGAGUAUCCCCUUUCCCAGUCCCUGUGGCAAGAGAGAGAAAGAGGAAGUGGAAAAGGAUACAAAAUCGAAUGACGUGGCACACCUUUUUUGAUGUGGUCAUCAUGGCGGAGGUGAAGCGUCGCCUGCUUCACCUGCCAAAGGUGUCGCCUGUCCUGCCGCAGAGUCAAUGCGACGGGACGAGUGGUUCGCGGGGCAGCCGUUGUGCGUGCGCGAGCCGUUCGAGGAACAGGCGUCUCGCUUUGAGUUUUGAAUCUCGCGGCGGGUUCGGGCGAAGUGUUGAACGGGUCUCGCCUAGGCCUUUAUAUAUUCGGGAGAGGGACCGGUGAUGGUUCUUUACUCUGUUGCUCGCCUCCCACUUAGGUUUUCGCAACCCGAGGGAAUAGCCAGAGAAAGGAAACCGCGCACCCAGUCCUCUCCGCCGCCACCUCUUCUGCUUGGUGAUGGCCGACCGGGUGACCAUUGUUUCGCCGCGCGACCCGUGGCCUUUCUCCACCGUCACGGCGGAUGACCUGGAGGCCCUUGUUGCUGAUGGUUUGCUUCGCCCUCUCUCCGGUGACUCGCAGCCGGAGUGGAUGGCCCCUCCGAGCGGAGCCGCCCCGUCCCCGCCGCCGGGGUAUGUGGUGAGCUUCGUCUCCUUUCACGAGCGGGGGUUCGGAGUGCUGGCAAGACGUUUUAUGCGGACGAUUCUGCACGUCUACGUGGUGGAGCUACACAAUCUCAGUCCCAACUCCAUCUCGCAAGCAGCCAUCUUCGCGGCUGUUUGCGUAGGAUAUUUCGGGAUUGCCCCCCACUGGGACCUGUGGACCCAUCUCUUCUCCGCGGAGCUUUUUGCCUCGUCGACGGGGGAAAGAAGAGUUCGCAUGGUGGUGCGGGCCAGUGGAUGCAUCCUCUAGUUGAGGCAGGCAUGGGCGCUGCAGUACAUCCCUGCCAUCCUCGCGUCUUCGAACAAAGGGUGGCAGCGCUGGUGGUUUUAUCUCCAAAAUGACGAUGGGAGGCUCCCAUCGUUUUCUCAACGAGUGGUGACCGCCGCCACCGAUAACUGGCGCUACGGGACCCCACGCGAGAGACAGAAGAAUCACCAGCCCCUUUUGAAGGCCUUGGAGGAGCUGCGAGAAGGAGGGCUCACCGCCGCGGGGGUGGUUGCCGCCAUUCAUCGCCGGAGGGUGCUCCCCUUGAUGGAGCGGCGGCUGCCGCUUUGGGAGAUGACGCCGGGGGUCGACUUGGAGGGUUUGCAGAUGUCCUCGGACCCCCUUCCCGCCGUCGACCUCCACAGGCGGGUAGCCGGCACGGUAGGGAAGUUAGACGCCGGCGCCUUUUCCCAGCCUUCAAUGCGUCCCGAUCGCGGGUGUGUGUCUCUGGUGAGUAUCCGCUCCUUCUUCCUUCUUGCGUCGGAUUGCCCUCAGUUCUCACAGCCGAGACUUUUCGUUCGUCUCCAGGAGGUGGGGUUUCACAAGCCUUCCCUGCCACCGGUCCCGGAGGACGCGGUGGACCGAGCUACGCGGAGGGUCGCCGCGGAGAAGAGGAAGGAGAAGAAGGACGCGAAGAAGGCUCGAGCCCGUGAGCAGAUGCGGGCUCGGGAUGCCUUGGAAAGGCUUCGUUGUCGGCAGGAGAGGGAUGGGCUCCCGAGGGAGCCAGAGACGCCUGAUGACGACGACGACGAUGAAGACGAUGAUGAAGACGACGACAUGGCGGCCCGCCUCGGCCUCAGCCCGGAUCUGAGGCUGGGCCAGGGGUCGUCGAGCCAGCCCCCGAGUGGGCUGGCACCAUCGGUAUCCGGGGCCGGGACAUCGAGGUCCUGGUCCGAAGAACAGGGGCAGGCCGAGGGGGUACUUGACCCCUUGGCCGAGGUAGUUGAGGUGACUGUUGGGGACUUGUUCUCAAAUGCUAUGAGUUAAGAACAAGGCAACACAGAGAGUGUUAAAUGAUAAAGUCCUUCGUCCUUUGAAGCAUUAUUUCCCUUAGGAUAUAACGAUCUUCAGACGAAGGUCAUGAAGGACGAACCUUCAUCAUCACAAUAUACAUUAAUGAAAGACGAAGCAUACGAAACAUAAAAGAUAGCAUGAAUAAUCAUAUAACAUCAUCGAUUUAGCUUUUUUAUAUCAUCAUAGAAAAAUAGAGACAAUAUCGAAUUACAAAUGUACCUUCGGCUUGGAAGGAGAUGAAAAUACAAGUGUGACGCAAAAGCAAAUGCCAAGUCAGCGUGAACGGUACGGGGGUACUGUUCACCUAUUUAUAGGCACGGGACGCAGCCUGUGAGGAAUUACAAGUAUGCCCCUUAUAAAAGCUUACAACAUUGACUCAGACCUUCAUGGACUAAAAAGUCAUUCUAUCUUUAAGUCGGUUUACACUGUCGAAGCUUCAUGGAAAGGAACCUUCGGCCGUCUCAUGCAAACAGCCUCAGCCGAAAGCUGCUUCUCCCUUGAAGACCUUCGGCGACGAAGCAUAGACCCAACAGUAGCCCCUUUCGCGGUGCUAGAUCGUUUUUCGUAACGAGCUUGAUCCGUGAAAAAAGUCUCUUAAGCUUCGGGGAGCCGAAGGUCCAAAAAACACCUUCCCUGAGCUCGUUGCCGAGAAACGAUUUAAUUUCCCAGCACGUAGCGGUCCCACCUUGCAGAGUUUACUGUUUGUCCUUGCGGUCCACCGCGCAGCGAGCGCAAGCGGGUGUGCGCCUGGUGUAAAAACUCUGGCGCUUCGCCUUCUUACCUGCAGCACUAUAUAAACAGACGAGUAGGUGUGAAGUUACCACAGCAUUCAUUGCUAUUUGCACUGUUUUCCUGCCAAAAUUUUUAACCAUCACCGAAGCUUGUCUGUUAGAAUCGAACGAAGCUCCAGUUUGAAAUCUGCUUCGGAGGAAGAAAAUAUUAAAGUUUCACAAGUUCAUAAUUGAAUGGCCAGAGUCCGCUCUACCGCCAGGGUGGAGCGCGUGGGGGAGGAAACUGAAGCUUCGGAGACUCUCCCCAUCUCCGAAGCCAUGCAACGAUCGGGUCUAGUGACUUCGGAAAAGAUCCCUCAUGACGGUGCAGAACAAGCAGAACAAGCAAUCGCUGAAGCAGAGGAAAAAGAUAUUGAGGAAACUGAUUCCGAAGAUGAUUAUCGCAUUGCCAUGCCAAGCAAGCCGAGCCACUUGGACUUCGGAAAAUCUACUGUUUCGAAGGCUGAUCUGUCCAAGAUGGUAAAAUCGGGCUUUUUCACUGAAAAUCAGAAGAAGCUUUUGCGCUUCGGGGGAGAAGAGACUACCCCAAAACCGGAGAAAGAUGAAAUUGUUAUUUUCAAGAGCUUUUUAAAGGCUGGAUUAAGAUUCCCCCUACAUGGGAUCAUUGGAGAGGUGCUGAAGAGGUUCGGUAUCUAUUUUCAUCAGCUGACCCCUAACGCUAUCGUUAGGCUUAUUGUUUAUAUCUGGGCACUCCGAAGCCAAGCAGUGGAACCAUUUGCGGACAGCUUCUGCCGGGUUCACGAGCUGCAUUAUCAAACAAAGGCUAGAAAAGAUGGAUUGCACGAUAAUUUUGGUUGCUAUAACUUUGCCUACCGGAAAACUACCAAGUUCCCUGUAAUUAGCUACCGAAGCAAGUGGGCAGCAGGCUGGAAAUCAGAGUGGUUCUAUGUCAAGGUUGAUGACGACAAGGAAAAGCUUGUACAAAGCCCGCUGGAAUUAAUCUUCGGAGAAACCCGACCUCGCUGCAACAUGACACCCGAAGGUCCAACACAACAAGCAAUGAGUGAAUUCAGAAUUAUUGCAGAGCAUAUCAGCACAAGGGACCUGGUUCAAGAGUUUUUAGCAUUCAAAAUUUUUCCAAGUUUGAAAGAAUGGGAAAUGCCGAAGCUACAGGGGGAAAAGAAAAAAGGUGAACUCGUACGUUUACCUUACUAUUUCAAGUUUAAAAAGUACUUUAAAGCACCUUGCCAAGAGUGGCUAGAUACGAUUGAAGCAAUGUGUAAUGAAAUACUUGGCAAUUAUUCCAAAAAAGAAGAUCAAUUGAUGACCGCAGCCUUCGGCACCCGUCCGAAGCGAAGGCUAAAUCGAGUGUUGGACGCUCUGGAGUUUGAAUACCCAGACUAUGAGAAUUUAAACAAAAAUGCCGGAGGCCAGAAAAGGAAAAGAAUGACCGAAGCUUCAAACAAAGAUGAAGAAGAGACACCGAAGAAGAAGAUUCCAAAGAAGAAGAAAGCAUCUUCUCCGAAACAAAAAAUAUCUGAUGAAGAAAAAUCCCCCGCAUCACCCUCUACCACUGAUGUAGAGGCCAUUCUGCAGGUAAUGACUGAAUCCAUGCCUGCGAAGCUAAGUCCACUAGGGCCUCGACUGACAAAAUUUUUUCCGAAGGAAAAGGAGCCAGAAAGAAUGAAGAAAACAACUAAAGUAAAAAGACAGAGGAUGAUCGGUGUGACAGAAGUUAUCGACAAGACACCGCCAAGAGCUUCAGCUCAAAAAAUACCAGCGGCUGCGGAAGAGACAAAUAUUGAAAUUGCACCUUCGGAGGUCACAGCCGCCGAAGCUGCCUCAGUUGAAGAUCUGAACCUAGAGAGCACAUUUGAACAUAUUGACCAAAUACUGCUAGACAUGACUACAGAAGAAGUUACCACCACCGCCGAAGAGGCCGCGACCGUAGCAUCGGCGAAAGGGAAAGAAAUUGCUGAUGAAGCUUCGGAGAACGAAACCUCCAUGUUCCGGAAUUUAAUCGGAGAACAAUUAUCAAAAGCGGAAAUAAAAGAGCUUAAAGAAUACGCCAAAUCCUGCGGAUACAAGCCUGGAGCGCUCCUCUUCGGAGGCGUUGAUGAUGAAAAAUUGGGCUGUAUCCGAGAUCAAACUGGGGCCAAAAUUAUCAGUACUCUGUCCAAGAAUAUCGGAUUUCCGAAGCUAGAAACGGAUAUCAGCCGCUACCGACGACAACAUGUCGUUGGCAGCUUAUUUUAUUCCAACUUCAAGGUGAACUGCUUUUUUCCCUUAACCUUUAUUGUUUCUAAGAACGAAGACAUGUCUGACGAAGGUUGUUUUCGUGCAGAGUAUGCUUCUGAGCAAAGCCUUGCAGAUGCAACAAGAUUUUGAAGAUAAAAAGCACGAAGUUAUAAUUGAAAAUUUGGAAAGCAAAAUAAAGGAACAAUCAGAUGCCUUCGAGAAAAAGAACUUUGAGCUCCAGGCAACCGAAGGACUAUUGGCGGAAGCUGAAGCAAAAAUAACAGAACUGAACACGAAGCUUCUCCGCCAGUCUGAGCAGUUCGAACAAGAAAAACAAGAUCUUAAUGCAAAACUUAAAGCCGAAGCUCAAAAGAAUUCAGAUUUGAAAAAACUACUGGCAAGUCUUCAAGAAAACUGCUUGGAAUUCAGCAACAGAUGCAUUCAUCGGUUGAAAAAGAUUUUUUACUCAGUUGGAGCCAGCAGUGGAAAAUUUGCCCCCUCGGCUGAAGAUCUACCAAAAACCUUCGAACAUAUUGAGGGGGAGAUUGACGAGCUCGACGAAGUCAUAGCUGGGCAUGGUGACUUCUGUGCCUGGGUGGCUUCUCGAGGCACUGCUGCGGCUUUCCUGAAGGCUGGCUGCGAGCAUGGAAGGAUUGUGAAUAGGCCAAAUUUCACUUUGUCGCCAUCAAUCCUGGACGACAUUCCUGAUCUUGCCCGAAGUAUCUCGAAUAGAUUUUUAAAAAUGAUAUGGACAAAAGGUGGGCGAGAAAAGGCAGGAGACGAAGCUCGUAGCCACCUUGAACCAGUAAGAAACCAUACCUUGUGCUUACCUUUUCUUGUAAGCUCGAUUUUGACUUACAACGAUCUUAUUCAUGUAGGAUGAUGAAGCUGAAGUCGAAGGUCAAAAAUGAUGCCGAAGCCGCCGAAGCCGAAGCUCCUUGGGGAUUAGAUAGUAGACUGUAAACAAUGCUUGAGAAACUUUUGAGAGCUUUUGUAAACGUAACUUUUGUAAAUGUAAACAAUGCCGAAGGUCUUUAAUGAAUUCUGUUCAUACCUUAUUAUAUAUCCUUACCUUCCCAUUGCUGUAUAGGAAAUGCUUUGAUGUGGACGAAAUUUUUCCUUUUUGAGCCGUCGGCGAAAAAACACCUUCCCUUCUUUUCGUACGCAGCGAAGCAUAGAGAACAACAUUUUCCCCUUUUUUCCGAAGCUCUCUUUUUUGUGCACGAAGCUCUUUCUUCCCCUUCUUUUUCCUCUUUUUGCUGAAGCAACCAUUUAUGCCAUGAAGAUGACUAUCCUACUUAUGCCUAGAUGAAUGUUUAUGAAUGCAAAUGUUAUGAUGUAAUGUGAUGUGCAAAUGCAUGGCCAAACAUGUAUCCGAAGUCAUAUUCAUAACCAUUUUAAGAACCAUCACACCUCAGCUCUGCAUUCCCUUAGGAACGACUUUGGAGCUUCUUCGCCUUUACUUUUGGCGGAAUCAGCGUUGACUUUUCGCUGUAAGCUCUGCAUUCCCUUAGGAACGACUUUGGAGCUUCUUCGCCUUUACUUUUGGCGGAAUCAGCGUUGACUUUUCGCUGUAAGCUCUGCAUUCCCUUAGGAACAACUUUGGAGCUUCUUCGCCUUUACUUUUUGGCACUCGAUGGUGCGUUCUCAGCUUUUACAUUUACAUUCUUUGGGGGAUUUUGCCCUUAUAGAACUAAAAAAGAAAAUUACACGUGAUGGCCCCAUUAAAAACCUUUCUCCCCCUUCGGAAAGGAAAAGGGUGCCAUGAAAGAAAAAAUAAAAAAUAAAAAAUAUGAAAAAUUACAUCGAAUUAUACAUAAUAUCGCCGAAGCUCAUCCGCAUUCCAAGAUCUAGGAAUGUCGUUGCCGUCCAUAUCCUUCAAUCUGUAUGAACCGGGUCUUGACGAAGAUGCUACUAAGAAAGGUCCAUCCCAUUUCAAUUGUAACUUGCCCACUGUUUCUGGGUUGGCCACUCUCCGAAGCACCAAGUGUCCUGGCUCAAUAUUCUUUAGUCGAACCUUUCUAUCUCGCCAUUUAAUUGUUUCGGCUUGAUAUUUGUUGAUGUUUUCCACAGCUUGCAACCUGAUCCCUUCUAAAGCAUCUUUUUCCACAGAAUAAUCAGCUUCGGAACCUGAUGCUGCCGAAGCUAUUACCCUUAUUGAUCCGGUUUUAGCUUCUUCUGGAGUUAUUGCUUCGUCACCAAAUAAUAACUUGAAUGGGGUAAAGCCGGUAGACCUUGAUGUUGUUGUAUUAUGGCUCCACACCACUUUGGUUAACUGAUCUGGCCACUUUCCCCUUGGUUGAUUGAAAAUUGACUUCAUUAUUCCUGUCAUUAUAAUACCAUUGGCUCUUUCAACAAGUCCAUUUAACUCCGGAUGUCUGACUGAUGCAAAAUGGAUCUUCGUACCAAUUUGACCACAGAAAUCCCUAAAAGCUUCGGAGUCAAACUGUGUUCCAUUAUCCACAGUGAUAGCCUUUGGUACCCCGAAACGACAAACAAUAUUCUGCCAGAAAAACUUUUGGACGGUGGCCGAAGUUAUUGUAGCUAAAGGCUUUGCCUCAAUCCAUUUAGAAAAAUAUUCCACCGCCACUACAACAUAUCUUAGGUUCCCUUGGGCCGGUGGUAACGGACCUAACAAGUCAAGGCCCCACCUUUGCAAUGGCCAAAUGGGUUGUAUGAGUUGUGUUAAGGACGAAGGUUGUUUUUGAUCUCGUGCACAUUUCUGACAACCUUCACACUUUUGAACUAACUCCGCUGCAUCCGAAGCUGCCUUUGGCCAAUAAAAUCCUUGGCGGAAAAUUUUUCCAAGCAAUGGCCUGGAUCCAAUGUGAGAUCCGCAGAGGCCUGCAUGUAUUUCUUUCAUCAACUCAAUACCUUCGGUUCUGGAUAAACAUUUGAGUAACGGAGCACAAACUCCAUGCUUGUACAAUUCUCCUUCUAUCAUGACAUAUGGACGAGCCCUUGCCUCUAUCCUCCUGUUAUAAGCUUCGUCAUCUGAAAGGAAUUUUCCCUGAAGGUAAGAGAUGAUCUCAGUUCUCCAAUCCUCGCUAUAGACAGGAGAUAUGUUGAGGACUGCUCUUUCAAGAAGUUCUACCGAAGGAGCUUUUAUUGUUUCAAAGAAUACAUCCGAAGGUAAGGGCAGCCCCUGUGCUACUGACUUAGCUAGCAAAUCAGCAUGUUCAUUUUGUCCUCUAGGGAUAUUUUUGACAGAAAACCCUUCGAAGGAAGCUUCAACUCUUCGAACCAUAUCCAGAUAUUUUUCAAGCUUCGGAUCCUUAGCCUUGCAACUCUUGUCAACAUGACCCAAAACGAUCUGGGAAUCAGUUUUAAGUAUGGCCCUUCUUAUUCCCAUUGCUUUUAACUUCCGAAGACCUAAAAGCAAGGCUUCGUACUCGGCAAUGUUAUUUGUGCAGCUAAAGUCAAGCUUUGCCGCAUAACAAGUUUUAACCUUGGAAGGUGAAACCAACACAGCAGCCGCUCCUGCUCCGAAGGUUCCCCAAGAUCCAUCGCAAAACACUGUCCAUGCUUCGGCAUCUUUAUUUGUUUCUUCCUCCUGAGCCCCUGGCGUCCAGUCAGCAAUGAAAUCUGCUAAUGCCUGAGACUGAAUCGAAGAUCUAUGAACAUAUUCAAUACAGAAUUCGUUGAGUUCUGCAGCCCAUUUUCCAAUCCUUCCAGUAGCUUCUCUAUUUCUCAUAAUGUCCUUCAACGGCUGUGAAGAAGGAACAACAAUAUUAUAUGCUUGAAAGUAGUGCCGAAGCUUCCUGGAUGCCAUCAAAACAGCAUACAACACCUUCUCCAAUUCUGUGUAAUUUUUCUUUGAUAUACUAAGAACUUCAGAUACAAAAUACACUGGAACCUGCUUUUUAACCUGGCCAUCAAGCUUCUCCUGGACAAGCGCUGCACUUACCGCUGAGUGCGAAGCUGCCACAUAUAAUAGCAAAGGAGCCCCUGGCAUUGGUGGAGUCAAUGUUGUUAGAUCUAUUAAAUACUGCUUCAGCUCUUCGAAGGCCUUCUGCUGGAUUGGUCCCCAUUGAAAGACUUCGGUUGACUUCAACACUUCGAAGAAUGGUAAGUUUCUCUCUGCUGAUCUGGAUAUGAAUCUAUUGAGAGAUGCCAAUCUUCCUGUCAAUCUUUGAGCCCCUUUUUUGUAGUUGGUGGCUCCAUCCGAAGUAUAGCUUCGAUUUUACUUGGAUUAGCUUCGAUUCCCUUUGUUGAAACCAAACAUCCAAGAAAUUUCCCCUUCUUUACUCCAAAAACACAUUUUUCUGGGUUCAAUUUUAAGCCAGCUUGUCUGAAUUUGGCGAAGGUCUCCUGCAAAUCAGCAAUAUGAUUCUCCUGUUUCGUGCUUUUUACUAUGAUGUCAUCAACAUAAGUUAGCACAUUUCUGCCUAUCUGAGACUGGAGAACCUUCGCAGUCAUUCUGCUAAAACUUCCUCCAGCAUUUUUGAGCCCCUCAGGCAUCCGAAGAUAGCAAUACGUGCCACUUGGAGUUAUGAAGCUAGUUUUCGGCUCAUCUUCCUUCUUCAUCCAGAUUUGAUGAUAGCCUGAAUAGCAGUCUAACAAACUCAUGAGCUCUGAAGAAGCUGCUGCAUCAACUAAAGAAUCUAUCCUGGGCAAUGGGAAUUCAUCCUUCGGACAAGCCUUGUUCAGAUCUGUAAAAUCGAUACACAUUCGCCACUUGCCAUUGGCCUUUUUUACCAUAACAGUAUUGGCUAGCCACUCUGGAUACUUUACUUCUCUGAUAACUCCUGCACUGAGGAGUCUUUUGACUUCAUUACGAGCACCUUCGGCCUUAUCAUCUGACAUUUUCCGAAGCCUUUGCUUUCUGGGUCUGAAGGAUGGAUCGACAUUGAGCGAAUGCUCAAUAACGUCCCUAUUAACUCCGCAGAGAUCAUUGGCUGACCAUGCAAAAACAUCUUUGUUGUUGAACAAGAACCUUAGCAAGGUUUUCUCUUGUGCUUCGGAUAACUGAGAGCCCAACAGCACCUUCUGUUCUGCUACAUCCUCACAUAAGAGCAUGGGCUUCGGCUGAUCUGCUGAAGCUGCUUUCUCCCUUCUGAAUUUGUAUUGUUCGCAAGCUUCAGCUCCAUCUAUGUUAUGGAUUGCUUUUGAAUCAGUCCAGUUUCCUUCGGCCCUUCUGGCAGCUUCCUGGCUUCCAUGAAUAGCGAUGGGUCCCUGAUCCGAAGGUAUCUUCAUACAAAGAUAAGCAGGGUGAAGGAUUGCUUCGAAGGCAUUGAGGGUACCACGACCAAUAAUUGCAUUAUAAGGGUAUUCCAUGUCAACAAUGUCAAACACAAUUUGCUCAGUUCUAGUGUUAUUGAUGAAUCCGAAGGUCACUGACAUGGUGAUCUUUCCCAGUGCUACAAUCUGUCUCCCUCCGAAGCCACAAAGAGGAUGUGUAGCAUCAUGAAUCUUAUCUUCUGGCUCUUGCAUUUGCCUGAAGGCUUUAGCAAAUAUGAUGUCAGCUGCACUACCUGUAUCAACCAAGACAUUGUGAACCAGAAAUCCUUUGAUAACACAAGAGAUAACCAUGGCAUCGUUGUGUGGGUAAUCUUUGAGCUGAAGGUCCUCUUGGGAGAAGGUAAUAGGAAUGUGAGACCAUCUUGACUUGAUGAAGGGUCCUUGCACCCCAACAUGUUGUACCCUUCUCUGUGCUUCCUUCUUUUGUUUCUUGUUAGCUGGUUCUGAGGACGAACCACCUGUGAUCGGGAGCACCAGCUUCGGGUUCGAAGCAGCUCCAGCUCGGUCAUUGAACGAAGCCAUCAGCUCGAAAAGUGGAAGUGAGUUCACCGGAGGUGGGCGCCAAUGUUGGGGACUUGUUCUCAAAUGCUAUGAGUUAAGAACAAGGCAACACAGAGAGUGUUAAAUGAUAAAGUCCUUCGUCCUUUGAAGCAUUAUUUCCCUUAGGAUAUAACGAUCUUCAGACGAAGGUCAUGAAGGACGAACCUUCAUCAUCACAAUAUACAUUAAUGAAAGACGAAGCAUACGAAACAUAAAAGAUAGCAUGAAUAAUCAUAUAACAUCAUCGAUUUAGCUUUUUUAUAUCAUCAUAGAAAAAUAGAGACAAUAUCGAAUUACAAAUGUACCUUCGGCUUGGAAGGAGAUGAAAAUACAAGUGUGACGCAAAAGCAAAUGCCAAGUCAGCGUGAACGGUACGGGGGUACUGUUCACCUAUUUAUAGGCACGGGACGCAGCCUGUGAGGAAUUACAAGUAUGCCCCUUAUAAAAGCUUACAACAUUGACUCAGACCUUCAUGGACUAAAAAGUUAUUCUAUCUUUAAGUCGGUUUACACUGUCGAAGCUUCAUGGAAAGGAACCUUCGGCCGUCUCAUGCAAACAGCCUCAGCCGAAAGCUGCUUCUCCCUUGAAGACCUUCGGCGACGAAGCAUAGACCCAACAGUGACCCCGGGGAGUCAGGCCGAGCUGCUUGUUCCCCGAGAACCGUUGCCCGUGCUGACUGCGCAGGAGGGUGAUCCUCGGGUCGUCGUGGCUGCGCCUAGGCAGUCCGUCCCUCGGGUGCCUCGGGCGCCCAAGGCAUGGAUGGUGCUGAAGCCGGCAGCGGGGCGGACCUCGGUGGUACCCUCGGGGAUCGAGGUUCGAGAGACCUCCCCACAGACACGAUUGAUCAUGGCCCGAAGUGGGUAAGUAUCUUAGGAUAUCUUCGUUCUGGCUCCUCCUUCGUAUGUCCUGAUCCUGGUUUUCCCUUUCUCCUUAGCAAGCGGAGGCACGGUUCGAUCGGUCUGGCUCCCUGGAAGGUCCUCAAGACGGCGUCGGCUUCUGCAGCUAGUGCCGCGUCGGGCCUCGCCGGCCAGCUGACCCCCUCACAAGACGCCCCAAAGCGGGGGGCUCAGGUGGCACAAGUUGCCGUGGGGAAAGCUCCCGAGGCUGACUCCUCUGUCGAGGCGGCCGUCGCGCUGGGGGAGGCUGCUGGCGCGGCUGUGGCCUCGGGCUCACCAGACGUGUUGCCGGUGCUGGCACCGGCUUCUGCCGAGGUCGUUGCUGUUCUGGCCGUGGAGUCACCCGUUGCCGCCGAUGCUGAGAUGGCCGAGGCGUCGCUACCUGAUGCCUCGGAGGAGGGGGCGCGGAACCGCGACCCAUCCUGGGGAGCGGCAGCCUCGUCCCCGCGCGGCGCAGUCCCAACGGGCGGCGUCAGUCGCUCCGGUUCUGGACCAGUGGGGCUUCGGAUCCCCUCUUCGUUCUUGACGAAGAGCGAGAGGAGCAGUCUUGGGACGGGCUUCGUGAGUGUGCCGAGGCAACGGUGGGGUCGCUUCGGUCGACCUUGGAGGUCCUUCGCAGGGACGUUCCCAAGAUCCUCCAGGUAAUGAGUUCAAGCAUACCUUUCACGUGUUCAAGGCAUUCUUUGUGAUGCCCCGCUUCCUUUCCUCAGGAUCUGACAGAUCUGAGCGCCGCCAAGUCGUCGUUCAUCCGCCGCGAGGCCAUUGUCUGGGGUUCGCUGCGGUCCCUGAGGACCACGCUUGCCUGGGCUACCGAGCGCCUCUCCCAACAGAGCGCCGAGGUGGCGGACCUUCGGUUGCUCUGUGUCGAUCUGGGAGCAGAGGCAGCGGCGGCACGCGCAGAGGCGCAGCGGCAGCAGUCGGAGCUUGGCCAGGUUGUGGCAGAACCUCCCAAGUUAUUGGGCCCACAUGCACCUGUCCUUGUCUCAAAGACCUCGGACGGCUAUGCAUGUGCACCAGAUAACUUAACAGGAUCCGUCCGAUUGCCCCAAGGACAUCGGAUAAACCACUUAAAACCAGAACCGCGUGAUUAAGUAACACAAAUCACACACACCAAUAUUGUUACAGCGGAAAUCUUACUACCAAAUUUUACAAGUUACAAAAAUUUUACAUUAGUUUAUCGGAGUGAUUACAAAAAUAUAAGUUUGAAAUAUAUGCUAGCUCAAGGGAUCAUCCUCAAUAAGAAGUAUAGAAGGGUUACUUAGACUUAUAAGAAGGCCGAGCCCACCGGCACUUAACACCAUCAACAACAGCACAAAGUUAGAACCUGAAAAACAACAAGGAAUAAAACCCUGAGUAUGGAAUUACUCAGCAAGUCUUACCCGACUAAGGAAAAGACUCUCAAGGUUAUGCUGGAUAAAUAGGAAUCAAGGAGAGGCUUUAGCAAGAAUCAACUUAGAUACUUUUGUAGAAAUAGCUUACUAAAGUGAGUCCUUACUUUCAAUAUUUUAACGCCAGAUUGAAUAUUAAUAGACACUGUUUGCAUCUAGUCUAAUUUCAUCAUCUCAUCAAUACAACAUCCUUUUUAUUCAUAAUGUUCACAUCCUGACUUAGGUUGCAGGGAAGUGACCAAGUCUUCAUAACCGCGAAGGUACGGCGAUCCGAAUUGAUUAUACUCAGCUGAGGAUCUCCAAUCACAUGACAUAUGUAGCACUUAACCCUUGCAUAUGUCAACCCGCCACCGGGGUUCUUAAGACCAGAUCAGGUUCACGCAAACCGAGAGCACAGAUACACCACCGUCCAGCCUCUUGCCACGGAGGGUACACGCUACUCUCGCCACCGCUCCACGCCCAUUUCGUGUUAUCUUAUUCUGGCCUUAGUCUGCCCGAGGCAAGGCUUACCCAUGACGAGGCAUGUGACCAGUUAAAGGGUCCUCGGUCAGCACGCCUACAUACGCAUUAAUCCUUAACCAACCUGGGUAGAAUAUCACCUGUUCCUAACCCAAGUCUCAAGUUAAGUAUUUCCAUCCUUAGGAUUGUGUCUGUUCCUUACGAUGAAAGAGCAUCAUAGGGAACUUUGCAGUAAGAUCCCACUAUUGCUCCACAUGAAAAUAUUUUUGCAGGUAGAAGCCAUCCUCUCCCGGGUUAGACUGAGGACAACCUCUAUCCACAAGAUCUAAGCAAGGCUAAGCAUUUUUGUAAAUCAUAAUUUUGAUACUUCACAGAAGUAUCUAUAAAGGUAUGGAUAUCAAGGAAAGCAAUGCAUCAAAGGGUUUCAAGUAACUCCUAUGAACCUAAUGCACAUUUCACUAGACUUAAGUGUGCGAAAAGUAUUUAAAACACAAGGAAAGGGGUUGCAUGCACCGGGGCUUGCCUGAGUAACACUAGGUUAGUGUUGUUAGGUGACGUCCGCUUGACGAGUAUCCUUCGACCGAGCACUUGCUUGAUUUAACCGUCUUCAGGUUGAUUCAUCAGCUUCAGCUUGCAGAUUAGCCCACGCUUGGGGUCGGCUUGGUUCUUCUUCCGCAUCACGCGAUUAUUUAUCGUACCUCAUGAGAUGCAUGAUGCACAUGUAUGAGCACAUGUAUAACGAGUAUAAUAUAGAUAAUCUACGCUAAAAAGCAUGAAACACUUAAAACCAAGCAUUAAGCACCAUGGAUAUCACAGCAGGACAUCGACUAUAUCCAUUAAUCAAAUUGACAUAUUACACUAGAAAAUCUAUUUUUAUUCUAAGCUUUUUAUUAACUCUCUAAACUGUGUAACUUAAUUAGUUGAUUUAGCGAGCUAUCUAAAUCAAUCAUCACAAUAUACGCAUGCUAAAUUAAUAAUAUUUAUUGUGACCAAUAAUUCUAUUUAAUCUAUUUAUAGACCUAGUUAAUGGGAAUACGAACCAACUUACCCUUACUAAUUCGACGCGAUAGUCGCAAGCACGACUACGGGUUCCGGUUGAUGUCAUCCAGGAGCCUUCUUUUCUUCGGUAAUUAAUUGCUGAAGAUCUUUUCUUCGAUUGAAUAAUUUCGACGAAUUGAACUUGAGUCGCGCAGGAUGUCCGAGCUUUUUGGUCGCGCACUUGGUGAAUAUCACGCUGCUGGCUUCGUUUUCACUCGAUUCUUGGAAUUUCUUGAUGACGCAUGGAACGACGACGACACAGGAGGGUGACGUAUAUAGAGCUACACACGCGACACGAUGACGAACGACGCUGACCAGCGGAAUCGAUGACGCGAUGAGAAUUAAGGCCAAGCGAGCCGAGAGGGCGCACCGGCGAGCAGGAAAAAGACUCGACGCAGGAGUUUGACACGCACGCGAAGCUAUCACCAGCGACAACACUAUGAUGGCGAUAUGAGCGAACGCGAAUCGGCGCGGGCCAAACACCGUACAACCAUGGCAGCGACUUGGGCGAGAUUCAAACUAAAGCAGCAGCACAGCGACAAGCAGGGACGACUGGCGAACUCCGGUUUAGGUGAAUGGAACGCGACACAGGGAGCUGGUGCGCACGUAGGGACUCGACGACGGACAGCGGCCAUGGAUGACGUGUCGCGCGGACGGCCGAGCAGGACACGAACUGGACAGAACCGAGCGCGCAGGCUCCACGGCGAACCGAGAAACCGGCUACGCGCAGGGGACAGAGGACCGUGCGCGCAGAGCGAGCAGCAAGGACAGCGCACAAGGGGAGCCACGACGGCUAGCAUGCCCGACGACCACGGACGUGGCUGCCUGAGGCCGGGGUCGAGCACCACCAAGAGAAGGCACACGCGCGCGCGACCACGAUUAGGCGAGGGAGCGGCAUGACCAGGGAGCGAGCUCGCGGUCGAGCAGAGGAGAUGGGUGCCGCGAGCAGCCUGCAGGGAACCCCGCGCCAUGGGAGGAAACAGAGGGACUCAGCGAGCUGCGGCAGAGAGGAGGGAGAUAACGCGAGCACGGGGAACGGCAGUCGAAGCCGAGCAGGGGAUCCGGCGAGCGCACGGAGUUGGGCGCGGCCAUGGGAGAGCAGGGCGAGCAGGGGCGAGCUCGCGCGCAGAGAUAGAGAUAGCGGGAGGGAGAAGCCGAGCACGGAAAUCGCGGCUACAAAGAUGGACGCCGGCACUACGUACACAGGAAACGGAUAUAUAGCCGUUUGUAGAAAAAAUCUGAAGAUGAAGACGGCGGCGCUGGAUAAGGCUAAAGGAGAUACGUGUGUGAUAUUUCCAGAGAGAGAGAUGAAAUAGAUAAGGAUGGCUGUAGAUUUUUCAAAGAAUGGAUGUGAGCACUGGAGACCGACGUGAGAGAAUAAUAAAAAGAGUGGACGUGGGAGGAUAAGAUGGAUGGCCUGGGCGAUAGAAAAUCUCCAGAGAGAACGGUAGAAAAUAUUAGAGGAGGGAUUAGGGAAGCGGCGACACGAUAUUUUUGAAGCAAGAUUUUUAGCCAUAACAAAAAAGUCGACAGUACUUGCGACCCAAUUUGAUUCGAUUCGAAAUCUGAUAAAUUUACAUGGGGUCUGAACAUCUGGUUCUACAGCCACGGAUAAUUUACCAGUGAAUUGGAGCUCAAUUAAAAUUUCUCGGAGGAGCUGUCUCGGUUGACGAGUGGGAACCGAAUUGUUUAAUAAUUGUUUAUAUCUGAAGAUUUGGAUCCGGCGAGAAACAACAGACCGAAAUAAACUGAUUUCGGUACUGACAAUUUGCUCCACGAUUUAACUGAAAUUAGCCGGAACCAAAGUUGCGAAUGCUCACGCGAUUUCGUCGCCAAAACAGCGUGCUGAAGGAAUAAACUGGGUCAUAACUUCGCGCACGAUUUUCCUCGGACAACGCGCGAUACAGAUUAUUUUGCCUUGGACAUUUUAAUCGUCGAGUUCUUCUUAAUCUGUUCGGUAUAAAAUCAUCCGAGUGAGUCGGGCUUCCGAAUUCGUAUUCGCGCGAGCGAUGAAUUUUAAAUAAUCACCGGACGCACCAAUUUUCAGAACAAAUAUGUUCCGAACAGCACGAAAAUUUAGGAAGAGCCCGGAUUAAUAAAAAUGAUAUCGAACUCGCGAUAGAUGGAACAGAUGCGAUUUUAAAUUCGCGAUGGACGAAGAUAAUUAAAAUUUAGCAUCUGUUUUAUCCACUGAUAUUACGUGCUUAAAUCCAUACUCGUUGUCGAGCAAAAUAUAAACACCAGUGGUGUUACAACCCUCCCUCCUUAAAAGAAUCUCGUCCCGAGAUUCGGAACGAAAGACUUCUAAGAGUAGAGAAGCAUGUAACCCACAUCCAUAUCAGCGAUAAUCGUGAGACAGUUCUGAGCAAAGGCAAGUGUCUCAGAGUGUGGUUUCUCUAGCGGACAUAACAUGUAUCGCCUUAGGCUAAUUUAGAAAUGUCCACCAAAGAGACAAUAUUUGCCAGAGGUACACAUAAGGUUCUAUGUGUGCGGUUUACUCUUUCUGAUGACACUGUACUAUCUGAGUCUGUUGAGCGAGUGGCAAUUACGCGAUCUUACCCAAACAGAAUUAGAUGCACCAUCUUGGGUAAAACACACAGAAAGAGGUUUACCAACAAGUGGUUACAGUAAGUUCAUGGCACACGAGAUGGGUGUGAACGUCGAAUAACAUCACAGUUAACUCGUGUUAGGCUAGAAAAUCUAAGUUCAAGGAAAUGAUAGAGACUCGAAAAAUACCAAUGGAAAGAUUCGUUGAUGUUGUCUUCGCAACCAUACCAUUUUAUCAAGCACUAGGCAUGGCUCGACAUGAUCACACACGCUGGAAAAGUACAUGUGAGGCGAUCGAGGCAUGACUAGAGCGAUAAUUAGGCAGUUACUGGCCGACUUAAUCUUGAUUCUUGUAAGUACUUCCUUAGGAUGGGUUGACCCAAAGUGAGUUCAGACAACUCGAUAAAGCGAUCUCUAAACUCAACCUUUGAUCACAAGGCGGUUACAAGUUAGUAAAACCAACUUGUUGAACUACUUUCGACAUUGAGCAAGUCCUCUCAGUACCAUUGGUAAGCCAACGGUCGAGAGCUCACAUUCGCUAGCAAAAGGUCAUGCAUUUGGGUAGAAAUCCAUUUGGUCAUGUUGUUCAUCCAUUUCUUCAUGCGAGAUGAAUUAUCCACUUGGUUAGGGAAUACAUGGAUUAAAUAAGGGAGCGAAUGAACAAACUCCUGCAUCUCAGCAGCAGGGAAAACAUAUCUCCAUUUUAAGAGCUAAUCAGUUGUUUUCCAACACUAAAAAGCUCCAAGGCUUCACAUUUACACAAAGGAUGCAAAGGGAACGUGUAUGUGUGAAGUCACCAUCAAAGUCAAGGAAAAGAGACCACACAUGAAAGGGGUAUGCCCUUUUGAUCCAACAGAGAUGAUAAAUGUUGCUUGAUCACUUGACAAACAACAUAGAAAUUAUUUCAAGGGAAGUUCCACGGAAGAUCACACAUCAAUGCAGUUCCACAAUGGAUCAUGACUAGAGACCUUGAUACUAGCAUCGAGGAGUAGCACAAUCCUGUGUGCGCAUUCAUAGGAGGCUCUCAGUUUUGCUGCGGCACCAUAAGUCAUUAACCAUGACACCACUACCGAACUGGCACCAAUAACGAAUCUCACGUAGCAAAAAUAGAUUGUGCUAAGAUAACACAUUGAUAUAGUCUCAUAAUGGAUUAUAACUACUAACACUGAUACCAGCGCGUGCCGAGCAGCACGACCAUGUGUGCGCACACACAGAAGGCCCUCGGUUUCGUCACGGCACCACCAGUUUUAGUCAUAACACCAUUACCAGACAUAACCAAUAAGAAAUCUCGCACAACACAAAUAGACUGGGUAAGGGUGACAAUAUACAAAGAGAUACUCCACCUGUAAGAAUGGUUACAAGUAGAGAGCCAAUAGAUCAUGGCCCGAUGAAAUGAACAAGGCAUGGCCAUAACCUAAACUUGUUGAAAGGAGUAUGAAGGGAGACUGUUAAUUCAGCCCCAAACAUAUUUCUAUGCCCAUCGCAGAGAUUACAAGGUCAAGAAUUAGUAUCCGAUUAGAUACGGGGAAAACAAUCAUAAGAUUAAGUUGGUAUGCCUUCGAUAGAUAUGGGGAAACCAAAGGCAUCAAAUUCAAGAAAAUACUCGGAGAGGUCUUCUCUGGGUUAGGUUGAUAAAACAACAUAGCGAUCUUCAAAAACAGGCAAACUGGAAUGGGGACAUCAGCUUGUGCCAAUCGAACAAGGGCAUGGUCUAGGAGGGAGAUGUAAUUCGAGAUUCUUGUUUUAAGUCCGGGUACAAUUUAUGUCCAACAAGGUAAUUAUCUAGGCAUUUAUUUGUAUGUGUUUGGUCAUGGAGUGAUAACGGAAAAUUCAAAUUUGGGUCGUGGUGUACUAAAUAAGAACAGGGCCUAGUUUUGGGUUUAGGCAAACAAGUCACUAACCUUCUACGGACACAUUAAGCACAAGAGCACACAUAUAGCAUCUAAACAUAAUACCUAAGGAAAGAAGACUAGCUAUUUUAUCGAAGUUCAUAAUUCAACAUUACACUAGAUUAUCUACAAUCACUGGUUUCUAGAAUAAGGAUGAGUGAAGCAUUUUGGAUGUAUAGGUGGCAAACAUGAUGCAACAAUCAGGAUGCAUGCUCGUCCUAUUCGUCCUCACUGAUUUUGCCAACAUACUGUGGCAAUAACGUUCUAUAUCGGUGGUAUACUAACGACUCUCACGGUAUUUUGCUAGUCGUCAGCUACACAUACGUUUUCGAUGUUAGUGUACCUGCAGAAAAAUUCCAUCACAACCCAUUUUCCCAAUGAUGCAAGUCACACAUGACAGUUUAUCACAGUUUAUACUCCAUAUAUUGCUAUAUGGAGGCCAGCUCAUCAUUAAGCGCCGAGCCACGCAUAGGCGCCGUUGCCACACUUUAACCAUAGGGCAACUCAUUAUGGUAACUUACCUUCUUACCUAAGCGUAGGUGCGUCGUUACAAGUACAUUACACUUCUCAGUAUUCCCAUGUCUGUAUACCCAUACACAUCCAUGGGGUACUGAAUUCCCAGAAAAGUAAAUACUCCACAUCGCAGCCUUCAUAUAUACAUAUGUAGAACAUGUAUAUAGUCAAGCGCCACAAUUAAGCACUCCCCUAGACCGACGUAUGUUCGGUCAUGCUCUCACAUCUCACCUUACCUUGAGCGUCGAUCCAUUCAAAACUGAAUGGCCUUAAAAAUAACAAUACACAUGUAUGCAAUACCCCCGGUUGUGGGUUAGUGGUUUUGAACUAAGCCACCUGAUAGUCCUUAACUUAGGGCUUAAUAGAGGAUGUCGCUAGCAUUAUAGUUUUUCAAAACUGUUUUUCAAAGCCAAACAAUAUGUUUAGUUGAAAAUAGGUUUUUCGAAAACCAAAACUUUGUUUUUAAAAUACGUAUGUGAUCGUAUAUACUUAAUCAAGCUCCGAUACCAGCUGUGACGGAACCUCCCAAGUAAUUAGGCCCACCUACAGUUGUCCUUGUCCAACGGACUUCAGACAACCCUGUAGGUGCCCCUGAACUACUUGACAAGUUCGGUAUCAUUCCUUACCUUACCAGGAACGUCUCACCCGUCUUGCAGACAUCACAGAACAUCGGAGAUAAAGAAAUGUGGAAGCAGUUAUAUAAACUUACAUUUAUUUCAAAAGCAAGCUUGAGUUAUUUUAUUACAGACCAGAGCUAAAAGUGAGUGCAGAGUAGUAAUAUUAUACAAACCAUGGGAGGCACAAACUCCUCCCGAUAAGCUAUAAGCAAAAGAACCUAAGUGGAGGACCGAGUCCUCCCGCACUUCAGUCUUGUUUUUCCUCAUUUGGUACCACCUUGGAGCAAAAGCAACAAAAGUUUG
rnacentral:lncRNA from 1 species